rnacentral:lncRNA from 1 species
GAGAAACCUUUCCUCGAGAAAGGAUCCGUUUCUAGAAACAAACACUUUGCUUUCGGAUCUGAGAUAGGAGAUGUACCCAACUGUUUUGGAUAUCCUAUGAAGAUGCUUUUAUCCGCUUUGGGUUCGAGCUUAUCAGAUUGAAACCUUUUUCACAUAAGUGUCGAAGCCCCAAACAUUCAAGAAACGACAGUUUAGAUUUCCCUAAACCUCAGUCUAUACUGUGUCAUCUCAAUGGAAAUACGCGGUGCCCUAUUUAAAGUGAAUGCGGUUGUCUCUAAUGCAUAACCCAUAAACGAUAGUGGUAAUUCGAUAAGAGACAUCAUAGCAUGCACCAUACCAAAUAGUGCGUGGCUAUGACGUUCAGACACAUCAUCACACUAUGAUGUUCCAGGUGGCAUGAACUGCGAAACAAUUUCCACAUUGUCUUAACUGCGUACCAAAACUCGUAACUCAGAUAUUCAUUUCUAUGAUCAUAUCGUAGACAGUUUAUCCUCUUGUUACGACGAACUUCACUCUGAAACAGAAUUGAACUUUUCAAUAUUUCAGACUUGUGAUUCAUUAAGUAAAUACUCUUGUAUCUACUUAAAUCGUCAUUGAAGUAAGAACAUAAUGAUAUCCAUUGCGUGCCUCAGCACCCAUUGGACUGCAUACAUCAAAAUGUAUCACUUCCAACAAGUUACUAUUUUGUUUCAUCUCAAUGAAAACAAGGCCUUUCUCAUGUGGUAUGAUUAGCAUGUCACUAGUGAUUCAAAAUCAAGUGAAUAUAAAGAUCCAUCAAUAUGGAGCCUCUUCAUGCAAUUUAUACUAACAUGACUCAAGCGGCAGUGCCACAAGUAAGUGGUACUAUCAUCAUUACCUCGUAUCUUUUGGCACCAAUAUUGUGAACAUGUGUAACACUACGAUCGAGAUUCAAUAAACCAUUGAAGGUGAUUAUUCAAGCAAAUAGAGUAACCAUUAUUCUCUUUAAAUGAAUAAUCGUAUUGCAAUAAACACGAUUCAAUCAUGUUCAUGCUUAACGCAAGCACCAAAUAACAAUUAUUUCGGUUUAACACCAAUCCCGAUGGUAGAGGGAGCGUGUGACGUUUUGAUCAUAUCAAUCUUGGAAACACUUCCAACACGUAUCGUCACCUCGCCUUUAGCUAGUCUCCAUUUAUGCCGUAGCUAUCAUUUCGUGUUACUAAUCACUUAGCAACCGAACCGGUAUCCAAUACCCUCAUGCUACUAGGAGUACUAGUAAAGUACACAUCAACAUCAUGUAUAUCAAAUAUACUUCUUUCGACUUUUGCCAGCCUUCUUAUCUACCAAGUAUCUAGAGUUGCUCCGCCUCAGUGACUGUUCCCCUCAUUACAGAAGCACUUAGUCUCAGGUUUGGUUUAAUCUUGGAUCUCUUCAUUAGGGCUGCAACUGUUUUUCCGUUUCACGAAGUAUCCCUUCUAGCCCUUGCCUUUCUUGAAACUUAGUGGUUUUACUAACCAUCAACUAUUGAUGCUCCUUCUUGAUUUCUACUUUCGCAGUGUCAAACAUCACGAAUCGCUCAAGGAUCAUUGUAUCUAUCCUUGACAUGUUAUAGUUCAUCACGAAGCUCUCACAGCUUGGUGGCAGUGACUUUGGAGAACCAUCACUAUCUCAUCUGGAAGAUUAACUCCCACUUGAUUCAAGCGAUUGUCGUAGUCAGACAAUCUGAGCACACGCUCAACGAUUGAGCUUUUCUCCUUUACUUUGUGGACAAAGAAUCUUGUUGGAGGUCUCGUACCUCUUAACAAGGGCACAAGCAUGAAAUCACAAUUUCAUCUCUUUAGAACAUCACUUAUGUUCCGUGACGUUUCAAAAUGUUUUCGGCGCCUUGCUUCUAAGCCAUUAAGUAUUUUGCACUGAACUAUCGUGUAGUCAUCAGAAACGUGUAUGUCGGAUGUUCACAGCAUCCACAGACGACGCUCGAGGUGCAGCACACCGAGUGGUGCAUUAAGGACAUAAGCCUUCUGCGCAGCAACGAGGACAAUCCUCGGUUUUACAGACUUAGUCUGCAAAGUUUGCUACUAUCAACUUUCAACUAAAUUUUCUCUAGGAACAUAUAAAAAACAGUAGAGCUAUAGCGCAAGCUACAUCGUAAUCCGUAAAGACCAUUAGACUAUGUUCAUGACAAUUAGUUCAAUUAAUCAUAUUACUUAAGAAAUCCCACUCAAAAAGUACAUCUCUCUAGUCAUUUGAGUGGUACAUGAUCCAAAUCCACUAUCUCAAGUCCGAUCAUCAUGUGAGUCGAGAAUAGUUUCAGGGGUAAGCAUCUCUAUGCUAAUCAUAUCAACUAUACGAUUCAUGCUCGACCUUUCGGUCUCAUGUGUUCCGAGGCCAUGUCUGCACAUGCUAGGCUCGUCAAGCUUAACCCGAGUGUUCCGCGUGUGCAACUGUUUUGCACCCGUUGUAUGUGAACGUUGAGUCUAUCACACCCGAUCAUCACGUGGUGUCUCGAAACGAAGAACUGUCGCAACGGUGCACAGUCGGGGAGAACACAAUUUCGUCUUGAAAUUUUAGUGAGAGAUCACCUCAUAAUGCUACCGUCGUUCUAAGCAAGAUAAGGUGCAUAAAGGAUUGACAUCACAUGCAAUUCAUAAGUGACAUGAUAUGGCCAUCAUCAUGUGCUUCUUGAUCUCCAUCACCAAAGCACCGGCGUCACACCAUGAUCUCCAUCAUCAUGAUCUCCAUCAAAGCGUCGCCAUCGGGGUUGUCGUGCUACUCAUGCUAUUACUACUAAAGCUACGUCCUAGCAAUAUAGUAAACGCAUCUGCAAGCACAAACAUUAGUAUAAAGACAACCCUAUGGCUCCUGCCGGUUGCCGUACCAUCGACGUGCAAGUCGAUAAACGCAUCUGCAAGCACAAACGUUAGUUUAAAGACAACCCUAUGGCUCCUGCCGGUUGCCGUACCAUCGACGUGCAAGUCGAUAUUAACUAUUACAACAUGAUCAUCUCAUACAUCCAAUAUAUCACAUCACAUCGUUGGCCAUAUCACAUCACAAGCAUACCCUGCAAAAACCAGUUAGACGUCCUCUAAUUGUUGUUGCAUGUUUUACGUGGUGACCAUGGGUAUCUAGUAGGAUCGCAUCUUACUUACGCAAAUACCACAACGGAGAUAUAUGAAUUGCUAUUUAACCUCAUCCAAGGACCUCCUCGGUCAAUUCCGAUUCAACUAAAGUUGGAGAAACCGACACCCGCCAGUCAUCUUUGAGCAACGGAGUUACUCGUAGCGACGAAACCAGUCUCUCGUAAGCGUACGAGUAAUGUCGGUCCGAGCCGCUUCGAUCCAACAAUACCGCAGAAUCAAGAAAAGACUAAGGAGGGCAGCAAGACGCACAUCACCGCCCACAAAAACUUUUGUGUUCUACUCGAGAAGACAUCUACGCAUGAACCUAGCUCAUGAUGCCACUUGGGGAACGUCGCAUGGGAAACAAAAAAAAUUCCUACGCGCACGAAGACCUAUCAUGGUGAUGUCCAUCUACGAGAGGGGAUUUCCGAUCUAUGUACCCUUGUAGAUCACACAGCAGAAGCGUUAGUGAACGCGGUUGAUGUAGUGGAACGUCCUCACGUCCCUCGAUCCGCCCCGCGAACUGUCCCACGAACCAUCCCGCGAUCCGUACCACGAUCCGCUCCGAUCUAGUGCCGAACGGACGGCACCUCCGCGUUCAGCACACGUACAGCUCGACGAUGAUCUCGGCCUUCUUGAUCCAGCAAGAGAGAUGGAGAGGUAGAUGAAUUCUCCUGCAGCGUGACGGUGCUCCGGAGGUUGGUGGUGAUCUAAUCUCGGCAGGGCUCUGCCCGAGCUCCGCAGAAACGCGAUCUAGAGGAAAAACCGUGGAGGUAUGUGGUCGGGCUGCUGUGGCAAAAGUUGUCUCAAAUCAGCCCUAAUACCUCAGUAUAUAUAGGAGGGAGGGGGAGGGAAGAGGCAGCCUCAAACCCUCAAGGUUUGGCCGAAAUUGGAGGUGGAGGAGUCCUACUCCAAUCCUACUUGGAGUAGGAUUCCACCUUCCCACUUGGAAACUCUUUCCACCUUGUGUUUUUUCCUUCUCAAACCUUAUGGCCCUUAGUGGGAACUUAUUCCAGCCCACUAGGGGCUGGUUUAUCUCUUCCCAUAGCCCAUGAUAUCCCCUUGGGGCGUGACACCCCUCCCGAUGGUCCCCGGCACCCCUCCCGGCACUCCCGGUACACUACCGAUGAGCCCGAAACUUUUCCGGUGACCAAAACAGGACUUCCUAUAUAUCAAUCUUUACCUCCGGACCAUUCCGGAGCUCCUCGUGACGUCCUGGAUCUCAUCCGGGACUCCGAACAACAUUCGGUAACCAACCAUAUAACUCAAAUACGCAUAAAACAACGUAGAACCUUAAGUGUGCAGACCCUGCGGGUUCGAGAACUAUGUAGACAUGACCCAAGAGACUCCUCGGUCAAUAUCCAAUAGCGGGACCUGGAUGCCCAUAUUGGAUCCUACAUAUUCUACGAAUAUCUUAUCGUUUGAACCUCAGUGCCAAGGAUUCAUAUAAUGCCGUAUGUCAUUCCCUUUGUCCUUCGGUAUGUUACUUGCCCGAGAUUCGAUCGUCAGUAUCCGCAUACCUAUUUCAAUCUCGUUUAUCGGCAAGUCUCUUUACUCGUUCCGUAAUACAAGAUCCCGCAACUUACACUAAGUCACAUUGCUUGCAAGGCUUGUGUGUGAUGUUGUAUUACCGAGUGGGCCCCGAGAUACCUCUCCGUCACACGGAGUGACAAAUCCCAGUCUCGAUCCAUACUAACUCAACUAACACCUUCGGAGAUACCUGUAGAGCAUCUUUAUAGUCACCCAGUUACGUUGCGACGUUUGAUACACACAAAGCAUUCAUCCGGUGUCAGUGACUUAUAUGAUCUCAUGGUCAUAGGAACAAAUACUUGACACGCAGAAAACAGUAGCAACAAAAUGACACGAUCAACAUUCUACGUCUAUUAGUUUGGGUCUAGUCCAUCAAAUGAUUCUCCUAAUGAUGUGAUCUCGUUAUCAAGUGACAACACUUGCCUAUGGUCAGGAAACCUUGAGCAUCUUUGAUCAACGAGCUAGUCAACUAGAGGCUUACUAGGGACAGUGUUUUGUCUAUGUAUCCACACAUGCACUGUGUUUCUAAUCAAUACAAUUAUAGCAUGGAUAAUAAACGAUUAUCAUGAACAAAGAAAUAUAAUAAUAACUAAUUUAUUAUUGCCUCUAGGGCAUAUUUCCAACAGUCUCCCACUUGCACUAGAGUCAAUAAUCUAGUUCACAUCACCAUGUGAUUCCCUAGCCUCUUGGGAUCGUUGCCCCCUUCGGUGGACCCCCGGGGCCACCUCCGGUGGUCCCGGUGGUCCCGGUAAUUUACCGGUGACGCGCGAAACACUUCCGGCGUCCAAACCCAUCCAUCCUAUAUAUAAAUAUUUACCUCCGGACCAUUUCAGAGCUCCUCGUGACGUUCGGGAUCUCAUCCGGGACUCCAAACAACUUUCGGUAACCUGGUAUAUCAAUUCCCUAUAACCCUAGCGUCACCGAACCUUAAGUGUGUAGACCCUACGGGUUCGGGAGACAGACAGACAUGACCGAGACACCUCUCCGGCCAAUAACCAUCAGCGGGGUCUGGAUACCCAUGGUGUCUCCCACUUGCUCCACAAUGAUCUCAUUGGAUGAACCACGAUGUCAAGGAUUCAAUUAAUCCCCUAUACAAUUCCCUUUGUCUGUCGGUAUAGAACUUGCCCGAGAUUCGAUCGUCGGUAUACCAAUACCUUGUUCAAUCUCGUUACCGGUAAGUCUCUUUACUCGUUCCGUAGCACGUCAUUGUGUGACUAACUCCUUAGUCACAUUGAGCUCAUGAUGAUGUUCUACCGAGUGGGCCCAGAGAUACCUCUCCGUCACACGGAGUGACAAAUCCGGUCUCGAUUCGUACCAACCCAACAGACACUUUCAGAGAUGCCCGUAGUGCACCUUUAUAGUCACCCAGUUACGUUGUGACGUUUGAUACACCCAAAGCACUCCUGCGGUAUCCGGGAGUUGCACAAUCUCACGGUCAAAGGAAAAGACACUUGACAUUAGAAAAGCUUUAGCAUACGAACAAUACGAUCUAGUGCUAUGCUUAGGAUUGGGUCUUGUCCAUCACAUCAUUCUCCCAAUGAUGUGAUCCUAUUAUCAAUGACAUCCAAUGCCCAUGAUCAGGAAACCAUGAUCAUCUAUUGACUAAUGAGCUAGCCAACUAGAGGCUUGCUAGGGACAUAUUCUGAUCUAUUUAUUCACACAUGUAUUACUGUUUCCUAUUAAUACAAUUAUAGCAUGAAAAAUAGACGAUUAUCAUGAACAAGGAAAUAUGAUAAUAACCAUUUUAUUAUUGCCUCUAGGGUAUAUUUCCAACAGUCUCCCACUUGCACUAGAGUCAAUAAUCUAGUUACAUUGUGAUGUAUCGAACACCCAUAGCAUUAUGGUGUUGAUCAUGUUUUGCUCGUGGAAGAGGUUUAGUCAACGAGUCUGCAAUAUUCAGAUCCGUGUGUACUUUACAAAUAUCUAUUAUUCCACUCUGGACAUGGUCCUGGAUGGAGUUGUAGCGCCGUUUGAUGUGCUUCGUCUUUCGGUGAAACCUGGGCUCCUUGGCUAUGGCAAUGGCCCCAGUGUUAUCACAGAAGAGUGUCAUCGGACCUGACGUGCUUGGAACCACUCCAAGGUCGGUGAUGAGCUCCUUCAUCAAAAUUCCUUCAUGAGCCGCUUCUGAAGCAGCUAUGUACUCCGCUUCACAUGUAGAUGCUGCCACGACUUCUUGCUUGCUGCUCCACCAGCUCACCGCCCCACCAUUCAACACAUAUACGUAUCCGGUCUGUGACUUAGAGUCAUCCGGAUCUGUGUCGAAGCUAGCAUCGACGUAACCCUUUACGACGAGCUCUUCAUCACCUCCAUAAACAAGAAACAUUUUCUUAGUCCUUUUCAGGUACUUAAGGAUAUUCUUGACCGUUGUCCAGUGUUCCAUACCUGGAUCACUUUGGUACCUCCCUACCAAACUUAUGGCAAGGUUUAUAUCAGGUCUGGUACACAGCAUGACAUACAUUAGAGAGCCCACGGCUGAAGCGUGGGGGACAGAACUCAUCUUCUCUCUAUCUGCUGCCGUGGUCGGCGACUGAGUCUUACUCAAUCUCAUACCUUGCAAAACUGGCAAGAACCCUUUCUUUCAGUUUUCCAUAUUGAACUUCUUCAAUAUCAGUUUUCCAUAUUGAACGUCUUGAUCUAUCUCUAUAGAUCUUGAUGCCUAAUAUGUAUGCAACUUCUCCAAGGUCCUUCAUUGAAAAACUCUUGUUCAAAUAGGCCUUUAUGCUCUCCAACAUCUCUAUAUUAUUCCCAUCAAUAAUAUGGCAUCCACAUACAGUAUGAGGAAAGCUACAGAGCUCCCACUCACUUUCUUGUACAGACAGGCUUCUUCGUAAACCUGUAUGAACCCAAACGCUUUAAUCACCUCAUUAAAGCGAAUGUUCCAAGUCCGAGAUGCUUGCACCAGCCCAUAGAUGGAGCGCUGGAGCUUGCACACUUUGUUAGCACCCUUAGGGUCGACAAAACCUUCUGGUUGCAUCAUAUACAACUCUUCCUUAAGGUUCCCGUUAAGGAACGUUGUUUUGGCGUCCAUUUGCCAAAUUUCAUAAUCAUAAAAGGCAGCAAUUGCUAACAUGAUUCGGACUGAUUUCAGCUUCGCUACGGGAUAGAAAGUCUCUUCGUAGUCAACUCCUUGAAUUUGUCGAAAACCCUUUGCGACAAGUCGAGCUUUGUAAACGGUUACAUUACCGUUUGGAUCAGUCUUCUUCUUGAAGAUCCAUUUAUUUUCUAUGGCUCACCGGUCAUCGGGCAAGUCCAUCAAAGUCCAUACUUUGUUCUCAUACAUGGAUCCUAUCUCGGAUUUCAUAGCCUCAAGCCAUUUGUUGGAAUCCGGGGCCGCCAUCGCUUCUUCAUAGUUCGAAGGUUCACCGUUGUCUGACAACAUGAUUUCCAUCAAAGGGUUGUCGUACCACUCUGGUGCGGAGCGUGCCCUCGUGAACCUUCGCGGUUCAGUAGUAACUUGAUCCGAAGCUUCAUGAUCAUCAUCAUUAACUUCCUCUAUAGUUGGUGUAGGCGCCACAGGAACAACUUCCCGCGUUGCGCUACUAUCCUGUUCGAGAGGGGGUGUAAUUACCUCAUCAAGUUCUACCUUCCUCCCACUUACUUCUUUCGAGAGAAACUCUUUCUCUAGAAAGGAUCCGUUCUUGGCAACAAAGGUUUUACCUUCGGAUCUAAGAUAGAAGGUAUACCCAAUAGUUUCCUUAGGGUAUCCUAUGAAUACGUAUUUCUUCGCUUUGGGUUCGAGCUUUUCUGGUUGAAGCUUCUUUACAUAAGCAUCGCAGCCCCAAACUUUACGAAACAACAACUUAGGUUUCUUGCCAAAUCAUAGUUCAUACGGUGUCGUCUCAACGGAUUUAGACGGUGCCCUAUUUAGAGUGAAUGCUGCAGUUUCUAGUGCAUAUCCCCAAAAUGAUAGCAGUACGUCGGUAAGAGACAUCAUAGAUUGUACCAUAUCUAAUAAAGUGCGAUUACGACGUUCAUACACUCCGUUGCGUUGCGGUGUGCCACGCGGCGUCAGUUGUGAAACGAUUCCACACUUCCUUAGGUGUGUGCCAAACUCGUGACUCAAAUAUUCUCCUCCAUGAUCAGAUCGUAGACAUUUAAUUUUUCUGUCACGUUGAUUCUCAACCUCACUCUGAAAUUCCUUGAACUUUUCAAAUGUCUCAGAUUUGUGCUUCAUCAAGUAGAUAUACCCAUACCUACUCAAAUCAUCGGUGAGAGUGAGAACAUAACGUUAGCCACCGCGAGCUUGAACGUUCAUUGGACCACACACAUCAGUAUGUAUUAUUUCCAAUAAGUCGGUUGCUCUCUCCAUUAUUCCUGAGAAUGGAGUCUUAGUCAUCUUGCCCAUGAGGCACGGUUCGCAUGUGUCAAAUGAUUCAAAAUCAAGAGACUCUAAUAGUCCAUCCGUAUGGAGCUUCUUCAUGCCCUUAACGCUGAUAUAACCAAGACGGCAGUGCCACAAGUAUGUGGGACUAUCAUUAUCAACUUUACAUCUUUUGGUACUCACACUAUGAAUAUGCGUAACAUCACAAUCGAGAGUCAUCAAGAAUAAACCAUUCACCAGCGGAGCAUGACCAUAAAACAUAUCACUCAUAUAAAUAGAACAACCAUUAUUCUCUGACUUAAAUGAGUAGCCGUCUCGCAUUAAGAAAGACCCUGAUACAAUGUUCAUGCUUAAAGCUGGUACUAAAUAACAAUUAUUAAGGUUUAAAACUAAUCCCGACGGUAGAUGUAGAGGUAACGUGCCGACGGCGAUCACAUCGACCUUGGAACCAUUCCCUGUUGGAAAUAUGCCCUAGAGACAAUAAUAAAAUGGUUAUUAUCAUAUUUCCUUGUUCAUGAUAAUCGUCUAUUGUUCAUGCUAUAAUUGUAUUAACAGGAAACAGUAAUACAUGUGUGAAUAAAUAGAUCACAAAGUGUCCCUAGCAAGCCUCUAGUUGGCUAGCUCGUUAGUCAAUAGAUGAUCAUGGUUUCCUGAUCAUGGGCAUUAGAUGUCAUUGAUAACGAGAUCACAUCAUUAGGAGAAUGAUGUGAUGGACAAGACCCAAUCCUAAGCAUAGCACUAGAUCGUAUUGUUCGUAUGCUAAAGCUUUUCUAAUGUCAAGUAUCUUUUCCUUCGACCGCGAGAUCGUGCAACUCCCGGAUACCGUAGGAGUGCUUUGGGUGUAUCAAACGUCACAACCUAACUGGGUGACUAUAAAGGUGCACUACGGGUACCUCCGAAAGUGUCUGUUGGGUUGGUACGAAUCGAGAUCGGGAUUUGUCACUCCGUGUGACGGAGAGUUAUCUCUGGGCCCACUCGGUAGAACAUCAUCAUGAGCUCAAUGUGACUAAGGAGUUAGUCACACGAUGACGUGCUACGGAACGAGUAAAGAGACUUACCGAUAACGAGAUUGAACAAGGUAUUAGUAUACCGGCGAUCGAAUCUCGGGCAAGUUCUAUACCGACAGACAAAGGGAAUUGUAUACGGGAUUGAUUGAAUCCUUGACAUCGUGGUUCAUCUGAAGAGAUCAUCGUGGAGCAAGUGGGAGCCACCAUGGGUAUCCAGACCCCGCUGAUGGUUAUUGGCCAGAGAGGUGUCUCGGUCAUGUCUACCUGUCUCCCGAACCCGUAGGGUCUACACACUUAAGGUUCGGUGACGCUAGGGUUAUAGGGAAUUGUUAUACGAGGUUACCAAAAGUUGUUCGGAGUCCCGGAUGAGAUACCGGACAUCGUGAGGAGCUCUGGAAUGGUCCGGAGGUAAAGAUUGAUAUAUAGGACGGAUGGUUUCGGACACCGGAAGUGUUUCGGGCAUCACUGGUAACGUACCGGGACCACCGGGACUACCGGAGGUGGCCCUGGGGGUCCACCUAAGGGGGCAACGACCCCGGGAGGUAAGAUGGGCCAAGUGGGGGAGGGAACCAGCCCCUAGGUGGGCUGGUGCGCCUCCCCACUCAGCCCAACGCGCAGGGGAGAGAAAAGGGGGGCAAACCCUAAGCCAGGUGGGCCUAAGGCUCACUAGUGGUGCGCCACACCCCUCCUCCCCCCUUGGCCACCGCACCAGCCCCCAUCUAGGGCUGCCGCCCCCCCCCCCCCAGGAGGGGGAAACCCUGAAGGGGGCGCAGCCCUGUCAUGCCCAAGAUGCGGCCCUAUCCUCAAUUUGGCACGAAGGCCUCGUUAGGGAUAGAAGCGCAUCUCGUCGUGUCGCAAGAAUGGAUAUCGUUACAAGUACAUGUACUGAAAAGAAGAUAUAUAUAUAUNNNNNNNNNNNNNNNNNNNNNNNNNNNNNNNNNNNNNNNNNNNNNNNNNNNNNNNNNNNNNNNNNNNNNNNNNNNNNNNNNNNNNNNNNNNNNNNNNNNNACAUGCUACGUCUAUUAGUUUGGGUCUAGUCCAUCACAUAAUUCUCCUAAUGAUGUGAUCCCGUUAUCAAGUGACAACACUUGCCUAUGGCCAGGAAACCUUGACCAUCUUUGAUCAACGAGCUAGUCAACUAGAGGCUUACUAGGGACAGUUUUUUGUCUAUGUAUCCACACAAGUAUUGUGUUUCCAAUCAAUACAAUUAUAGCAUGGAUAAUAAACGAUUAUCAUGAACUAAGAAAUAUAAUAAUAACUAAUUUAUUAUUGCCUCUAGGGCAUAUUUCCAACAGUACUAGCUCCUCUGUGAAAGGAUCUUCCUUCACCGAGGGGAGGUGUAGGUGCUCGAGGCAGACAUCACUCGGGACCGGUCUCUGAGUGGAUCCAACUUUUGCCAAUUCAUCUGCUGCUUGGUUUUUCAGUCGGGGAACUCGGUGAAGUUCCAGACCUUCAAACUUCUUCUCGAGCUUCCUUACUGCGUUGCAGUAUGCAGUCAUGGUGGGGUUCUUUACGUCCCAUUCCUUCAUUACUUGAUUAACCACCAGAUCUGAGUCGCCAUAGACCAUCAGGCGACGGACGCCGAGUGUGAUGGCCAUGCGCAAUCCGUAAAGGAGAGCUUCGUACUCUGCUUCAUUGUUGGAAGAAUCAAAAUGUAUCUGCAACACAUACUUGAGAUUAUCACCUUUGGGGAUAUGAUCACUACGCCGGCGCCGGAGCCAUUCAACAUCUUGGACCCAUCGAAGAACAUGGUCCAAUGGGCCGAGUAGAUGUGAGUCGGUUGCUGUUGUUCUACCCACUCUGCUAUGAAGUCAGCCAGAGCUUGAGACUUUAUAGCUUUCUUGGCUUCGAACUUGAUAUCGCAGUAUAGCAUCUCCAUUGCCCACUUUGCCACUCGGCCUGAUGCGUCCCGAUUGUGGAGAAUUUCCGACAACGGAGCAUCAGAUAUGACAGACACCGAGUGGUCUUGGAAAUAAUGAGCCACCUUCUUUGCAGUCAUGUAGAUCUCAUAGAUAAGCUUCUGAUAAUGGGGAUACCUCUGCUUGGAAGGAGUCAGGACUUCGGAGACAUAAUAUACUGGCCGCUGAACCUUGUACGCUUUGCCUUCUUCUUCGCGUUCGACUGUCAGAACGGUGCUGACGACUUGAUUUGUAGCCGCGAUGUACAGAAGAAGGGGUUCUUUACUGAGCGGGGCAGUAAGAACCGGUUGGGUGGAAAGCAGGGCUUUGAGGUCGUCAAAUGCAAUUUGGGCUUCGUCUGUCCACUCGAAGGUAUCUGAUUUCUUCAUGAGUCGGUACAGAGGUAACGCCUUCUCACCGAGUCGAGCGAUAAACCUGCUCAAAGCCGCUAGGCAACCUGUGAGCCUUUGAACAUCAUGUAUUCUUACCGGCCGCUCCAUUCGGACGAUGGUCCCGAUCUUUUCGGGGUUGACAUCGAUCCCUCGUUCGGAAACGAAGAAACCGAGUAACUUCCCGCUGGGAACGCCGAAUGAACACUUGGCUGGGUUGAGCUUGAUAUCGUACCUACGUAGGUUGGCGAAUGUUUCUGCCAAGUCAGUCAGCAGAUCGGAACCUUUGCGUGACUUGAUUACGAUAUCAUACAUAUAUGCCUCCACAUUUCGACCGAUCUGGUCAAGGAGGUAUUUUUUGGAUCAUGCGCAUAAAAGUUGCUCUUGCAUUCUUCAAAUCGAAUGGCAUAGUGAUGUAACAGAAACACCCGAAUGGGGUGAUGAAGGCUGUUUUUAAUUCAUCCGGACCAUACAGACGGAUCUGAUGAUAGUCCGAAUAGGCAUCAAGGAAGGAUACACGCUCGCAACCCGUAGUCGAAUCAACAAUUUGAUCGAUGCGGGGGAGCGGGAAGUGAUCUUUCGGACAGACCUUAUUGAGAUGCUUGAAAUCGAUGCACAUACGGAGAGACUUGUCCUUCUUGGGCACCAUGACAACAUUAGCGAGCCACUCGGAGUGGUGUACCUCGCGAAUGAAUUUGGCUGCCAAAAGUUUAGCCACCUCCUCUCCGAUUGCCUUCCUCUUGUGCGCGGCGGACUGACGCAGGCGUUCUCGGAUGGGCCGAGCAGCAGGAUCCACAUGCAGUCGGUGCUCAGCCAACUCCCUGGGUACACCUGGCAUGUUAGCGGUUUUCCAUGCAAAAAUGUCCCAGUUCUCAUGGAGGAAUUGGAUGAGCUCGGCUUCCUAUUUUGGAUCAAGGGUGGUGGAGAUGUUUGUCGGGGCAGCGGCGUCGUCCGUCGGGUAGAUGCUGACCUUCUUCGUGUCUCCCACCGACUGGAAUGCGCACUCGAAAGCUGGCUUCUUUGAACGCAUCAGGUCAGCGGGGUCGGCGGUCUUCUUGUACUCAUCCAGCUCGAGAAUAGCCAUCUGAUGAUCGGCAAUCCUCGACCCCUGCUGCAGACACUCCUCGGUGCGCUGCCGAUUGCCUGUGACCGUAAUCACACCUUUGGGACCUGACAUCUUCAACUUCAAAUAGACGUAACAUGGACGGGCCAUGAAACGCGCAUAUGCUGGGCGGCCUAGAAUCGCAUGGUAUGCACUCUGGAAGUCCACCACCUCGAAUGUGAGCUUCUCCUUACGGAAGUUCUUGUAAGAGCCGAAGACGACAUCCAACGCGAUCUGGCCGAGUGACUUGGCCUUUCGUCCUGGGACGACUCCGUGGAACUGCAUACUGCUCUCGCUAAGUUUGGACAUCAGAAUGCCCAUCCCCUUAAGAGUGUCGGCGUACAUGAUGUUCAAGCCGCUGCCGCCGUCCAUGAGGACUUUGCACAGCCUGACUCCUUCCACCACCGGGUCGACGACCAGAGCUUGCCUCCCUGGGGUGGGUACGUGUGCUGGGUGGUCCGACUGAUCAAAGGUCAUCGCAGUCUGUGACAACUUGAGGAACGUGGGGGUGGUUGGGGUUGCCAUGUUCACCUCCCUGUUAACCAGCUUCAGUCGACUCUUGCUUUCCACAUCAGCAAAAAUCAUCAGCGUUGCAUGGACUUGGGGGAACGGAUCCUCCUUGUCCUCAUCAUCCUGCUCGGUGUCCUUUUCACUCGGCUGACCUUCACCGAAUCCUUGGAUCAGGAGGCGACACUGCCGAGUGGUAUGCUUCUGGAAUAUGGCGUUGCCUUCUUCGUCCAUCUUCGUGUGGAUUGGACACGGUUGAUCCAGGAUGGAAUUUCCUGACUGCUUCUUCUUGUUGGGGAACGUCGCAUGGGAAGCAAAAAAUUUCCUACACGCACGAAGACCUAUCAUGGUGAUGUCCAUCUACGAGAGGGGAUGAGUGAUCUACGUACCCUUGUAGACCGUACAGCAGAAGCGUUAGUGAACGCGGUUGAUGUAGUGGAACGUCCUCACGUCCCUCGAUCCGCCCCGCGAACAAUCCCGCGAUCAGUCCCACGAUCUAGUACCGAACGGACGGCACCUCCGCGUUCAGCACACGUACAGCUCGACGAUGAUCUCGGCCUUCUUGAUCCAGCAAGAGAGACGGAGAGGUAGAAGAGUUCUUCGGCAGCGUGACGGCUCUCCGGAGGUUGGUGAUGACCUUGUCUCAGCAGGGCUCUGCCCGAGCUCCGCAGAAACGCGAUCUAGAGGAAAAACCGUGGAGGUAUGUGGUCGGGCUGCCGUGGAAAAGUCGUCUCAAAUCAGCCCUAAAGCCUCCGUAUAUAUAGGUGGGAGAGGGGGGGCCUUGCCUUGGGGCUCAAGGAGCCCCAAGAGGGUCGGCCGAGCCAAGGGGGGAAGGUCUCCGCCCCAAACCGAGUUGGACUUGGUUUGGUGGGUGGGAGUCCUUCCUUCCCUUCCCACCUCCUCCUUUUUUUUCUUUCUCUUUGAUUUUUCUUCCAAUGCGCAUAGGGCCCUUUUGGGCUGUCCCACCAGCCCACUAAGGGCUGGUGCGCCACCCUCAAGGCCUAUGGGCUUCCCCGGGGUGGGUUGCCCCCCCCGGUGAACUCCCGGAACCCAUUCGUCAUUCCCGAUGCAUUCCCGGUAACUCCAAAAACCUUCCGGUAAUCAAAUGAGGUCAUCCUAUAUAUCAAUCUUUGUUUCCGGACCAUUCCGGAAACCCUCGUGACGUCCGUGAUCUCAUCCGGGACUCCGAACAACAUUCGGUAACCAACCAUAUAACUCAAAUACGCAUAAAACAACGUCGAACCUUAAGUGUGCAGACCCUGCGGGUUCGAGAACUAUGUAGACAUGACCCGAGAGACUCGUCGCUCAAUAUCCAAUAGCGGGACCUGGAUGCCCAUAUGGGAUCCUACAUAUUCUACGAAGAUCUUAUCGUUUGAACCUCAGUGUCAAGGAUUCAUAUAAUCCCGUAUGUCAUUCCCUUUGUCCUUCGGUAUGUUACUUGCCCGAGAUUCGAUCGUUAGUAUCCGCAUACCUAUUUCAAUCUCGUUUACCGGAAAGUCUCUUUACUCGUUCCGUAAUACAAGAUCCCGCAACUUACACUAAGUUACAUUGCUUGCAAGGCUUGUUAGUGAUGUUGUAUUACCGAGUGGCCCCCGAGAUACCUCUCCGUCACACGGAGUGACAAAUCCCAGUCUUGAUCCAUACUAACUCAACGAACACCUUCGGAGAUACCAGUAGAGCAUCUUUAUAGUCACCCAGUUAUGUUGUGACGUUUGAUACACACAAAGUAUUCCUCCGGUGUUAGUGAGUUAUAUGAUCUCAUGGUCAUAGGAACAAAUACUUGACACGCAGAAAACAGUAGCAACAAAAUGACACGAUCAACAUGCUACGUCUAUUAGUUUGGGUCUAGUCCAUCACGUGAUUCUCCUAAUGACGUGAUCCAGUUGUCAAGCAACAACACCUUGUUCAUAAUCAGAAGACACUGACUAUCUUUGAUCAACUGGCUAGCCAACUAGAGGCUUGCUAGGGACAGUGUUUUGUCUAUGUAUCCACACAUGUAAAUGAGUCUUCAUUCAAUACAAUUAUAGCAUGGAUAAUAAACGAUUGUCUUGAUACAGGAAUUAUAAUUAUAACUAUAUUUAUUAUUGCCUCUAGGGCAUAAUUCCAACAGUCUCCCACUUGCACUAGAGUCAAUAAUCUAGCCCUCACAUCAUCAUGCGAAUUACAUUGUAAUAAAUCUAAUACCCAUACAGUUCUGGUGUUGGUCAUGCUUUGGCCGUGGAAGAGGUUUAGUCAGCGGGUCUGCUACAUUCAGAUCCGUGUGCACUUUGCAUAUAUUUACGUCCUCCCCUUCGACGUAGUCGCAGAUGAGGUUGAAGCGUCGUUUGAUGUGUCUGGACUUCUUGUGAAACCGUGGUUCCUUAGCUAAGGCAAUGGCAUCCGUGUUGUCACAGAACAAGGUUAUUGGAUUCAGUGCGCUUGGCACCACUCCAAGAUCCGUCAUGAAUUGCUUCAUCCAGACACCCUCCUUAGCCGCCUCCGAGGCAGCCAUGUACUCCGCUUCACAUGUAGAAUCUGCUACGACGCUUUUCUUGGAACUGCACCAGCUUACCGCACCCCCAUUAAGAAUAAAUACGUAUCCGGUUUGCGACUUAGAGUCGUCCGGAUCUGUGUCAAAGAUUGCAUCGACGUAACCUUUUACGGCGAGCUCUUCGUCACCUCCAUACACGAGAAACAUCUCCUUAGUCCUUUUCAGGUACUUCAGGAUAUUCUUGACCGCUGUCCAGUGAUCCACUCCUGGAUUACUCUGGAACCUACCUGCCAUACUUAUGGCCAGGCUAACGUCCGGUCUAGUGCACAGCAUUGCAUACAUGAUAGAGCCUAUGGCUGAAGCAUAGGGGACGGAGCGCAUAUGCUCUCUAUCCUCAUCAGUUGCUGGGCACUGGGUCUUACUCAAUCUCGUACCUUGUAAAACUGGCAAGAACCCCUUCUUGGACUGUUCCAUUUUGAACCUCUUCAAAACUUUAUCAAGGUAUGUGCUUUGUGAAAGUCCUAUCAGGCGUUUUGAUCUAUCCCUAUAGGAUAGAGCUUAAUGCCUAGAAUGUAAGCAGCUUCUCCUAGGUCCUUCAUAGAGAAACUUUUAUUCAAGUAAUCCUUUAUGCUCUCCAAAAACUCUACGUUGUUUCCAAUCAGCAAUAUGUCAUCCACAUAUAAUAUUAGAAACGCCACAGAGCUCCCACUCACUUUCUUGUAAAUACAAGAUUCUCCAACCACUUGUAUAAACCCAAAUGCUUUGAUCACCUCAUCAAAGCGUUUGUUCCAACUCCGAGAUGAUUGCACCAGUCCAUAAAUGGAUCGCUGGAGCUUGCACACCUUGUUAGCAUUCUUAGGAUCGACAAAACCUUCGGGUUGCAUCAUAUACAAUUCUUCCUUUAGGAAACCGUUAAGGAACGCCGUUUUGACAUCCAUCUGCCAGAUUUCAUAAUCGAAAAAUGCAGCUAUUGCUAACAUGAUUCUGACGGACUUAAGCAUCGCUACGGGUGAGAAUGUAUCAUCGUAGUCAACUCCUUGAACUUGUGAAAAACCCUUUGCCACAAGUCAAGCUUUAUAAACGGUCACAUUGUCGUCAGCGUCCGUCUUCCUCUUAAAGUCCACACUUUGUUCUCAUACAUGGAUCCUACCUCGGACUUCAUGGCUUCUAGCCAUUUGUUGGAAUCUUGGCCCACUGUCGUGGGUAUAAGCCUGACAGUAGAUGUGUAGGGUACGAAUGAGAUGGGCAGAGUCCUAGCUAGGGCGAGGUUGUAUGAGUUCAGGCCCCUCUGCGGUGGAGGUAACAGCCCUACGUCUCAGUGCUCUCGGAGCUUGUUACCGAGUGUGAUAUGGAGUACAAAGAUUUGCUAACCCUUUUACCAGUGGGGGAGGGCGGCUUAUAUAGAGUUCGCUGCCCUCCACAACGGUUCUGAUUCAAGGGUGGAGUAGUGGCGAUUGAAUGCAUACGUUACAGGUAACGUAUGCUCUAAAUGCUAGUAAAUGCACCCGAAAACGUACAGCAGUUUCUCUCCACAGAGGAUACGACGCACCGAAUGUAUCCAGUCGGUAGGCCCGGUGCUCUCCGAAUGUUAGUCUCCGACUGGAUGAUUCUGGGCCAGUUACCGACUGGAUGAUGGGGGUACCUUAAUACAGUCGGGGCAUACUCAAGGUCCUGUCCCUUGUGUGGGGUAGUCUUUGGGUAGGACAUGUAGGGCAGGCCUAUGACCCUACCCUAGGACUAUGACCCCAUCAUUAGUCCCCGAAUGGAUUGGGGUUGAAACGUCGAAGCGGUGCUCGAGGUUCAGAUCCGACUGGACUAGGUUCGGCUUGGGCGUUGCUUGCCUCUAUCCAUUUUAUCUCCCCUGACUAAUAAUCCGAGUGGAGGUGUUUAUUAUUUGGCUUGUCAGGGGCGAUCUGCCUGGACGAGAGUGACCAGGGGAGAGCUGACCCCGUCGUGGAACCUGCCCAAGAGCCUGUCCUGGAGCCUGUCCUUGAGGCCGCUCUUNNNNNNNNNNNNNNNNNNNNNNNNNNNNNNNNNNNNNNNNNGCUCUUCCUGCUGCCGCCCCCGCCGCCAACUUUGUUCUCAUACUUUGAACUUGGCGGUGGUCACAACUGCAGCUUCUGCCUGCGGUGUGGGUGGAACUUUCGGUUUCUGCUUCCGAGUAUUACCUCCGUCGGCAUCGCCGACUGUGUUGUGUUUGCCGCUCCGGAUGCGGUCUUCUUCCUUGCCAUUUGCAUAGCGAGCAGCUAUCUCCAUCAUCUUGCUCAUGGAGAUGUCGCCUGUCCGGCCGAACUUUAAGUACAACUCUCUGUACCGCACGCCUGCCUUGAAUGCGCAGACCGCUUGAUGCUCGGUGACACUCUCCACCGUGUGGUAAAGAGUCGUCCAUCGCUGGAUGAAGUCGCGCAAGGGCUCAUUCGGCUUCUGGACACAGUGUUGAAGCUCCACAAGGCCUGCAGGGCGUCUGCACGUCCCUUCGAAGGUCCUGAUGAACACUCGGGCAAGAUCUUCCCAACUGUAAAUGCUUGAGGGGGCUAACUGGUUCAGCCAAGCUCGCACCGAGCCGUCGAGCAUCAGAGGGAGGUGCUUCAUAGCGACAUAAUCGUCCCCUCCUCCGAUCUGGACUGCCACUCGGUAGUCGUCUAGCCAUGUUUCAGGCUUGGUUUCCCCCGUAAAUUUGCCGAUUCCCGCUGCCAUUCGGAAGUUGGGCGGGAUGUCAGCCGAGCGGAUGGCUCGACUAAAACACUCGGGGCCGGACACGAUGGUCCUGCCGCCACUUGGACGAUCCAGAUCGUGGCCAUCGCGGUGGGCUCGACCCCUGUCGACUCUUCGUUGGGCGAUUCGCCCUCUUGCGUCGGGUCUCGGGUCGUAAGUGUCGCCAACUGAACGCCGAUCAUCGUGAUGUCGGGACCCAUAGGGCCCACCCCGCGGAGGGGUGCGUGAACGGCGGCGAUCUUCACGGAUCAUGGAACGACUGCCUCCCCUGUGGUGCUGAUAGGAGCCCGGGCUGUGAACCGACCGAUGCGUGUUUGCAUGGGCGGAACUGUUGUGGAUCCGAUUGUGUGACUGUGAGACCGCCGAAUUCUGCUGCUGCGUCGUGUGCAACAGAGCACGGAUCUGCUCGAUUCCUCUUCUUGCCUCUGAAUCAGUCGGCUGGAGGGAAUCGGCGAUCUUGGCUGCCGCAGCCAAGUUGAGGAGAGGUGUGCGGAACAACUCUACGUUGCUCUGCCGGGUGUGCCGACUGGCAGAACGGCGUGCACCGGAUGCUUCACCGACUUCGCGCUCGUUUCGGCCGGCCUGAUGGGGAUCUUCAUGGGUGUUGGCCAUGUGAACUUCUGCUGCAGGCCCGCGGCCCACGUACUCGGAAGGGAGCUCAGUCGGAACCGAGCCCGAGCACUGGGGACGCGGGGCAACCACAACAGACUCCAGAACCGCCACUUGAGAGGACGCGAAGUGGCGUGCUCGGGCAUGCUGCACCCAACGUUGUAGAUGCGGACUACGAGAUCGCCUGCUGCGGCGCGUGACGAAGGUGCAAGCCGGCAAUGGAGCCGAUUGUUGGAGAAGAAGAACGCCGCGAGCGCCGGCAUGGAAGUGCGUGGCCCCGCGACGGGGAAGCGCCUCGAUGUCGAGAGGUGCAUCCCGAAGCCAUGCCGAAUCGUCGACGACGAAGGAAAGAGCGCCGAAGAGGAUCUGGUGACCCAUGCUCGAACCUCCACCGGAUGACAUGACGAAAGGAAGUAGUCGCAAACUCGCCGGAAGUCGCUUAGACGCCUGCCCCACGGUGGGCGCCAACUGUCGUGGGUAUAAGCCUGACAGUAGAUGUGUAGGGUACGAAUGAGAUGGGCAGAGUCCUAGCUACGGCGAGGUUGUAUGAGUUCAGGCCCCUCUGCGGUGGAGGUAACAGCCCUACGUCUCAGUGCUCUCGGAGCUUGUUAUCGAGUGUGAUAUGGAGUACAAAGAUUUGCUAACCCUUUUACCAGUGGGGGAGGGCGGCUUAUAUAGAGUUCGCUGCCCUCCACAACGGUUCUGAUUCAAGGGUGGAGUAGUGGCGAUUGAAUGCAUACGUUACAGGUAACGUAUGCUCUAAAUGCUAGUAAAUGCACCCGGAAACGUACAACAGUUUCUCUCCACAGAGGAUACGACGCACCGUGUAUCCAGUCGGUAGGCCCGGUGCUCUCCGAAUGUUAGUCUCCGACUGGAUGAUUCUGGGCCAGUUACCGACUGUAUGAUGGGGGUACCUUAAUACAGUCGGGGCAUACUCAAGGUCCUGUCCCUUGUGUGGGGUAGUCUUUGGGUAGGACAUGUAGGGCAGGCCUAUGACCCUACCCUAGGACUAUGACCCCAUCACCCACCAUUGCUUCUUCAUAAUUUGCAGGUUCAUUGUUGUCCAACAACAUGAUUGAUAAGACGGGAUUACCGUACCAGUCUGGAGCAGCACGUGGUCUCGUCGACCUGUGUGGUUCGACAGAAACUUGAACCGGAGUUUCAUGAUCAUCAUCAUUAACUUCCUCCUCAACCGGUGUUGCAACGACAGAGGUUUCCCCUUGCCCUGCGCCACCAUCCAGAGGGAUGAGAGGUUCGACAACCUCGUCAAGUUCUAUCUUCCUCCCACUCAAUUCUCUCGAGAGAAACUCCUUCUCGAGAAAAGCUCCGUUUUUAGAAACAAACACUUUGCCCUCGGAUUUGAGAUAGAAGGUGUACCCAACUGUCUCUUUUGGGUAACCUAUGAAGACGCACUUUUCCGCUUUGGGUUCCAGCUUUUCAGGCUGAAGCUUUUUGACAUAAGAAUCACAUCCCCAAACUUUAAGAAACGACAACUUUGGCCUUUUGCCAUACCACAGUUCGUAUGGUGUCGUCUCAACGGAUUUUUAUGGUGCCCUAUUUAAAGUGAAUGCAGCUGUUUCUAAUGCAUAACCCCAAAACGAUAACGGCAAAUCGGUAAGAGACAUCAUAGAUCGCACCAUCUCUAAUAAAGUACGAUUACGACGUUCGGACACACCAUUACGCUGUGGUGUUCCAGGCGGUUUCAACUGUGAAACAAUUCCACAUUGUCUUAAGUGAGCACCAAACUCGAAACUCAGAUAUUCACCCCCACGAUCAGACCGUAGGAACUUGAUCUUCUUGUUACGAUGAUUUUCAACUUCACUCUGAAAUUGCUUGAACUUUUCAAAUGUUUCAGACUUGUGCUUCAUCAAGUAGACAUAACCAUAUCUACUCAAAUCGUCUGUGAAGGUGAGAAAAUAACGAUAUCCGCCGCGUGCCUCCACGCUCAUCGGACCACACACAUCGGUAUGUAUGAUUUCCAACAAGUCACUUGCACGCUCCACUGUUCCGGAGAACGGAGUCUUAGUCAUCUUGCUCAUGAGGCAUGGUUCGCACGUGUCAAGUGAACCAAAGUCAAGUGACUCCAAAAGUCCAUCAGCAUGGAGUUUCUUCAUGCGCUUUACACCAAUAUGACCUAAGCGGCAGUGCCACAAAAAUAUGGCGCUAUCAUUAUUAACUCUAACUCUUUUGGUCUCAAUGUAUGUGUGUAUCGCUAUCAAGAUUCAAUAUGAACAAUCCUCUCACAUUGGGUGCAUGACCAUAAAAGAUGUUACUCAUACAAAUAGAACAACCAUUAUUCUCUGACUUAAAAGAGUAACCGUCUCGCAAUAAAUAAGAUCCAGAUAUAAUGUUCAUGCUCAACGCAGGCACUAAAUAACAAUGAUUUAAGUUCAUAACUAAUCCUGAUGGUAAUUGAAGUGAAACUGUGCCGACGGCGAUUGCAUCAGCCUUGGAACCAUUUUCUACGCGCAUCGUCACUUCAUCUUUCGCCAGCCUUCGUCUAUUCCGCAGUUCCUGUUUCGAGUUGCAAAUAUGAGCAACAGAACCGGUAUCGAAUACCCAGGCACUACUACCCAGGCAACAGAGCCGGUUAAGUACACAUCAAAAACAUGUAUAUCAAAUAUACCUGAUUUUUCUUUGGCCGCCUUCUUAUCUGCCAGAUACUUGGGGCAAUUGCGCUUCCAGUGACCCAUACCCUUGCAAUAGUAACACUCCGUUUCAGGCUUAGGUCCAGCUUUGGGUUUCUUCGUCGGAUUGGCAACAGGUUUGCCGCUCUUCUUUGAAUUACCCUUCUUGCCUUUUCCGUUUCUCUUGAAACUAGUGGUCUUAUUCACCAUCAAUACUUGAUGCUCUUUACGGAGUUCAGACUCUGCGACUUUUAGCAUCGCAAAUAACUCGCCGGGAGACUUGUUCAUCCCUUGCAUGAUGUAGUUCAACACAAAGCUUUUAUAGCUUGGCGGCAGUGAUUGAAGGAUUCUGUCAGUGAUAGCCUCUUGCGGGAGUUCAAUCCCCAGCUCAGCUAGACGGUUUGAGUACCCAGACAUUUUGAGCACAUGUUCACUGACAGACGAGUUUUCCUCCAUCUUGCAAGCAUAGAAUUUAUCGGAGGUCUCAUACCUCUCGAUCCGGGUGUUCUUCUGAAAGAUAAACUUCAACUCCUGGAACAUCUCAAAUGCUCCAUGACGCUCAAAGCGAUGUUGAAGUCCCGGUUCUAAGCCAUACAAGACUGCACAUUUAACUACUGAGUAGUCCUCCUUACGUGCUAACCAAGCGUUCUUAACAUCCUGAUCAGCCGUAGCGGGUGGUUCAUCUCCUAUCACAGCAUUAAGGACAUAAUCCUUCUUCCCAGCUUGUAAGAUUAGCUUAAAAUUACGAGCCCAGUCUACAAAGUUGCUUCCAUCAUUUUUCAACUUAGCUUUCUCUAGGAACGUAUUAAAAUUCAGGGUGACUGUCGCGUGAGCCAUGAUCUACAACACAAAUAUAUUCAAAGUUGACUUAGAAUAUGUUCAAGAUAAUUAGAGUUUAACUUAAUCAAAUUAUACGCUAAACUCCCACUCAAAAAGUACAUCUCUCUAGUCAUUUGAGUGGUUCAUGAUCCACUUACACUAGCUCAAGUCCGAUCAUCACGUGAGUUGAGUAUAGUUUCACUGGUAAGCAUCCCUAUGCUAAUCAUAUCAUCUAUAUGAUUCAUGAUCGACCUUUCGGUCUCAUGUGUUCCGAGGCCAUGUCUGCACAUGCUAGGCUCGUCAAGUUUAACCCGAGUGUUCCGCGUGCGCAACUGUUUUGCACCUGUUGUAUGUGAAUGUUGAGUCUAUCACACCCGAUCAUCAUGUGGUGUCUCGAAACGACAAACUGUAGCAACGGUGCACAGUCGGGGAGAACACAAUUUUGUCUUGAAAUUUUAGUGAGAGAUCACCUCAUAAUGCUACCGUCGUUCUAAGCAAAAUAAGGUGCAUAAAAGGAUUAACAUCACAUGCAAUUCAUAAGUGACAUGAUAUGGCCAUCAUCACGUGCUUCUUGAUCUCCAUCACCAAAGCACCGGCACGAUCUUCUUGUCACCGGCGCCACACCAUGAUCUCCAUCAACGUGUCGCCAUCGGGGUUGUCGUGCUACUCAUGCUAUUACUACUAAAGCUACAUCCUAGCAAAAUAGUGAACGCAUCUGCAAGCACAAACAUUAGUAUAAAGACAACCCUAUGGCUCCUGCCGGUUGCCGUACCAUCGACGUGCAAGUCGAUAUUAUCUAUUACAACAUGAUCAUCUCAUACAUCCAAUAUAUCACAUCACAUCGUUGGCCAUAUCACAUCACAAGCAUACCCUGCAAAAACAAGUUAGACGUCCUCUAAUUUUGUUGUUGCAUGUUUUACGUGGUGACCAUGGGUAUCUAGUAGGAUCGCAUCUUACUUACGCAAACACCACAACGGAGAUAUAUGAGUUGCUAUUUAACCUCAUCCAAGGACCUCCUAGGUCAAAUCCGAUUCAACUAAAGUUGGAGAAACCGACACUUGCCAGUCAUCUUUGAGCAACGGGAUUACUCGUAGGAUGAAACCAGUCUCUCGUAAGCGUACGAGUAAUGUCGGUCCAAGCCGCUUCAAUCCAACAAUACCGUGGAAUCAAGAAAAGACAAAAGAGGGCAGCAAAACGCACAUCACCGCCCACAAAAACUUUUGUGUUCUACUCGAGAAGACAUCUACGCAUGAACCUAGCUCAUGAUGCCACUGUUGGGGAACGUCGCAUGGGAAGCAAAAAUUUUCCUACGCGCACGAAGACCUAUCAUGGUGAUGUCCAUCUACGAGAGGGGAUGAGUGAUCUACGUACCCUUGUAGACCGUAUAGCAGAAGCGUUAGUGAACGCAGUUGAUGUAGUGGAACGUCCUCACGUCCCUCGAUCCGCCCCGCGAACAAUCCCGCGAUCAGUCCCACGAUCUAGUACCGAACGGACGGCACCUCCGCGUUCAGCACACGUACAGCUCGACGAUGAUCUCGGCCUUCUUGAUCCAGCAAGAGAGACCGAGAGGUAGAGGAGUUCUCCGGCAGCGUGACGGCGCUCCGGAGGUUGGUGAUGACCUUGUCUCAGCAGGGCUCCGCCCGAGCUCCGCAGAAACGCGAUCUAGAGGAAAAACAGUGGAGGUAUGUGGUCGGGCUGCCGUGGAAAAGUCGUCUCAAAUCAGCCCUAAAACCUCCGUAUAUAUAGGUGGGAGAGGGGGGGGCCUUGCCUUGGGGCUCAAGGAGCCCCAAGGGGGUCGGCCGAGCCAAGGGGGGAAGGUCUCCCCCCCAAACCGAGUUGGACUUGGUUUGGUGGGUGGGAGUCCUUCCUUCCCUUCCCACCUCCUCCUUUUUUUUCUUUCUCUUUGAUUUUUCUUCCAAUGUGCAUAGGGCCCUUUUGGGCUGUCCCACCAGCCCACUAAGGGCUGGUGCGCCACCCUCAAGGCCUAUGGGCUUCCCCGGGGUGGGUUGCCCCCCCCGGUGAACUCCCGGAACCCAUUCGUCAUUCCCGAUGCAUUCCCGGUAACUCCAAAAACCUUCCGGUAAUCAAAUGAGGUCAUCCUAUAUAUCAAUCUUUGUUUCCGGACCAUUCCGGAAACCCUCGUGACGUCCGUGAUCUCAUCCGGGACUCCGAACAACAUUCGGUAACCAACCAUAUAACUCAAAUACGCAUAAAACAACGUCGAACCUUAAGUGUGCAGACCCUGCGGGUUCGAGAACUAUGUAGACAUGACCCGAGAGACUCCUCGGUCAAUAUCCAAUAGCGGGACCUGGAUGCCCAUAUUGGAUCCUACAUAUUCUACGAAGAUCUUAUCAUUUGAACCUCAGUGUCAAGGAUUCAUAUAAUCCCGUAUGUCAUUCCCUUUGUCCUUCGGUAUGUUACUUGCCCGAGAUUCGAUCGUUAGUAUCCGCAUACCUAUUUCAAUCUCGUUUACCGGCAAGUCUAUUUACUCGUUCUGUAAUACAAGAUCCCGCAACUUACACUAAGUUAUAUUGCUUGCAAGGCUUGUGUGUGAUGUUAUAUUACCGAGUGGGCCCCGAGAUACCUCUCCGUCACACGGAGUGACAAAUCCCAGUCUUGAUCCAUACUAACUCAACGAACACCUUUGGAGAUACCUGUGGAGCAUCUUUAUAGUCAUCCAGUUACGUUGCGACGUUUGAUACACACAAAGUAUUCCUCCGGUGUUAGUGAGUUAUAUGAUCUCAUGGUCAUAGGAACAAUUACUUGACACGCAGAAAACAGUAGCAACAAAAUGACACGAUCAACAUGCUACGUCUAUUAGUUUGGGUCUAGUCCAUCACGUGAUUCUCCUAAUGACGUGAUCCAGUUAUCAAGCAAUAACACCUUGUUCAUAAUCAGAAGACACUGACUAUCUUUGAUCAAAUGGCUAGCCAACUAGAGGCUUGCGAGGGACAGUGUUUUGUCUAUGUAUCCACACAUGUAAAUGAGUCUUCAUUCAAUACAAUUAUAGCAUGGAUAAUAAACGAUUAUCUUGAUACAUGAAUUAUAAUAAUAACUAUAUUUAUUAUUGCCUCUAGGGCAUAAUUCCAACACUUCUUGGGGAUGUACUGAGCUUUCCCCUUGCCUUUGAACUUGGCAUUUGUAACAGCAGCUGCCUCUGCCUGCGGAGUGGAUUGAGCCUUCUGCUUCUGCUUCCGACUGUUGUUUCCAUCUCCAUCGGCGACUGACUUAUGCUUGCCGCUACGUAUGCGGUCCUCCUCUUCGCCAUUUGCAUAGCGUGCGGCUAUCUCCAUCAUCUUGCUCAUGGAGAUGUCGCCUGUCCGACCGAACUUCAGGUACAGAUCUCUGUACCGCACGCCUGCCUUGAAGGCGCAGACUGCUUGAUGCUCCGUGACGUUCUCCACCGUGUUGUAGAGAGUCGUCCAGCGCUGGAUGAAAUCGUGCACGGGCUCGUUCUGCUUCUGGACACAGUGCUGGAGCUCUACGAGACCAGCAGGGCGCUUGCACGUACCCUCGAAGGUCUUGAUGAAGACUCGGGAUAGAUCUGCCCAGCUGUAGAUGGUUGACGGAGCUAACUGGUUCAGCCACGCUCGCGCCGAGCCGUCGAGCAUCAAGGGGAGAUGUUUCAUGGCAACCUGGUCAUCUGCGCCACCGAUCUGGACCGCCACUCUGUAGUCGUCCAACCAAGUUUCUGGCUUGGACUCUCCUGUGAACUUGCUGAUUCCCGUCGUCAAUGGGAAGUUGGGAGGGAUGUCAGCUGAUCGGAUGGCCCGACUGAAGCACUCGGGACCAGACACGACGGUCCUGCUUCCACUCGGACGGUCUCUAUCGUGACCAUCACGGUGGGCUCGACUUCUGUCGACCUUCUUCUGGAUGAUGUACCCUCUUGCGUCGGGCCUUGGAUCAUGCGCGUCACCGACCGAACGACGAUCAUCGUGAUGCCGGGGCCCGUAAGGCCCACCCCGCGGAGGGGUGCGUGAACGGCGACGAUCUUCGGGAUUCCUGGAACGGCUGCCCCCUCUGCGUCGCUGAUGAGAGUCGGGGCUGAAAACCGACCGAUGCAUGUUCGCGUGAACAAAACUGUUGUGGAUCCUGUUGUGCGACUGGGAGACCGCCGAAUUUUGCUGCUGCGUCGUAUGCAACAGGGCACGGAUCUGCCCGAUCCCUCUACCAGCCUCUGAAUCAGUCGGCUGGAGAGAAUCAGCAAUCCUGGCAGCCGCAGUCAGGUUGAGGAUGGGUGUGCGGAACACCUCGACGUUGCUCUGGCGAGUGCGUCGACUGGCAGAAUGAUGGUGUUGACGACGAGCGCUGGAUGAUUCUCCGACCUCAUGCUCGUUCCGACCAGUCUGGAGGGGACUUUCAUGGGAAUCGGCCAUAAGAACUUCGGCUGCAGGUCCGCGACCCAGGUACUCGGAAGGUGGCUCAAUCGGAACUGAGUCCAAGCACUGGGAUGGCGGCGCGACCACAACCGAUUCGAGGACCGCCACUUGAAAGGACGCGUUCUGCCGCGCCUGGGCGUGUCGCACCCAACGCUGGAGCCGCGGACGACGGGAUCGCUUGUUGCGGCGCGUGACGAGGGCGAAUAUCGACACCGGGGCCGAUGGCUGGAGAAGAAGGACGCCACGGGAACCGGCACGGAAGUGCGUAGCCCCGCGACUGGGGAGCGCCUCGACGUCGAGGGGCGCAUCCUAAAGCCAUGCUGAAUCGUCGGCGAUGAAGGAGAGUGCGCCGAAGAGGAUAUCAUGACCCACGCACAGAUCUCCGCCGGACGACAUGAUGAAAAGAUGAAAUCGCAAACUCGCCGGAAGUUGCUUAGACGCCUGCCCCACGGUGGGCGCCAACUGUCGUGGGUAUAAGUCUGACAGUAGAUGUAUGGGGUACGAAAGGAUGGGCAGAGGCUUAGCUACGGCGAGGAUGUAUGAGUUCAGGCCCCUCUACGGUGGAGGUAAAAGCCCUACGUCUCAGUGCUCUUGGGAUCUUAGUGUCGAGUGGAUUAUAGGAUUACAGUAAAUGCCAACCCCUGCACCAGUGGGCAAGGGCGGCUUAUAUAGAGUGCGUUGCCCUUCAUAAUGGCCCGGUGGACAGGGGUGGAAUAGUGGCGAAUAAAUGCCUACGUUACAGGUAACGUAAGCCUUAAAUGUGAAUAAUGGUGUAUGAAAACGUAUGACCAUUGCCCUCCUGGGAGGUUACGAUGUACAGAGUGGAAUCCAGUCGGUACGUUAAAUAUGCUCCGAGUGCUCGUCGCCGACUGGAUGAUGGGAGAGUCCUUAGUUCAGUCGGAACUGUCUAAGGGCCUUGUCCUCUAUGAAGGGUAGUCCUUGGGUAGAACCUAUAGGGCAGGCCUAUGACCCUACCCUGGGACUAUAACCCCAUCAGGUCUCAUCACAACACACAGAUGACGACCAUAACUUAGGCGAGAGCAAUUCUGAUAGGCAGGAUCACUAUGCUGCUAAAACGCAGUUUUUUGCUUGCACGCUGGUGGGCAGCGGCAGUCAAAAUCGAUCUACCUCCAUGUCCCAGGAUUCGAGGGGUGACGGUACCUUGGUCUCACUGCAGCAGACAAGAGAGGACCCUACCUCAGGUCAGAACAGCAGCGACAGUCCGGUUCAUCAUGAUGUUGAAACGAUUGUGUGCGGGGAGAGGAAUUUGCAGGCUCAUUCGCAGUCCUAGGUUUCGGGUGACAUUGCACGAGGCACCAGGCAGGAGGCCCGCGUGACAUUUCCUAUGAACAUAUUACCCAAGGCUCAUAAUGCAGUGCCGGAAAGUGAUGUAGCUACGGCAGGGUGUGCGACAGACGGUCGUAAACAUUCACAGGUAUCUACGGAGGAGGUGAUCUCAUUUGGAGGGAUCCCAGAUCCUUCAUCUGGAGAUAGACGCUUCAGCCAACGUAUCCAGGAACAGCGAGAUGUUGAUGACAUGUCGAUAGGGCGUGCCAUGAGAGCCGCUAAAAUCCGAGAUGUUGAAAAGACUUCAGGUAUGCGUGUCGUUCCUGAUGCAUCAAUUCUUCAAUUUUCAGAUUCAGAUAUUAUUAAUAAUGCUAGCGACAUAGGUAUUUCUCUUGGAUCCUCAGGCAAACAAUUAGCAAAAUCUAUCAAUGAUAUUUUAGACUUAGAAGCAGACAGAACCAUUGAUUUUAUUCAGCAUUUAGCAGCGCUAAAACCAAUGAAAGAUUCACAUAUUAAUGACUUAGGAGGUGCACAACUGCAGAAUCUAUGUGAGAAUUUAUUACAUUUAGAGGACGAUGAGGAAGAGCUGGAUGACAUGGGAUCGGAGGGGUAUAUGGCUCCUUCGAUUGAUGGUUGUCAUCCAAAUGUCAUAUUAGUAAAAAAUAACUUAGAUGAUAUUAAAGACAAACCCAAGAGACCUUGGAAAAGAAAGGUAUUUCCUGAAUCUACGAUCAGGAGAAGUGCGAGAGUAAAACAAAAGAAAAAAAAUUCAUGAUGAGAUAUGAAAGGAAUUUUUUGGAAUAGCAGAGGUCUAGCGGACUUGGCUAAAAGAAGGUUCCUUAGAGAAGCAUCACUCGAACAUAAACUUGACUUUAUAGCAUUACAAGAAACUGGUAGGGAUAACUUCACACCGCAAUUUCUUAAUAUCCUCUCGGGGGGGGGGGGGUGGNNNNNNNNNNNNNNNNNNNNNNNNNNNNNNNCUUGGGGGGGGGGGGGGGUUGAUUUUGAUUGGCAUUGUUUACCGCCAAGGGGAAGAUCUGGUGAGAUCUUACUUGGGGUAAAAUGUGAAACAUUAGAGGUGACGAAUGUGAUAUAUGGCGAGUUCACGGUUAAAUUUUGACUGCGGUCAAAGAUUGAUGGGUUCAGGUGGGCUCUGGUGGCCAUAUAUGGGGCGGCGCAACCAGAACUCAAACCUGAUUUUCUUGCAGAUUUGGUACGGAUUUGUGGAGAAGAAAGACGUCCACUUAUGGUGGGGGGAGAUUUUAACAUCAUUAGAAGACAAGAUGAAAAAAAUAAUGAUAAUUUUGAUACACGGUGGUCCACUAUGUUCAACAUGGUCAUUGAGAGUCUCAAUUUGAGGGAGAUUGACCUCACUGGUAGACAAUUUACUUGGGGAAAUUCUUUACCGGUACCAACAUAUGAGAAAUUGGACCGGGUACUGGCCAGUGUUGAGUGGGAACAGAAAUACCCACUGGUUACAGUACAGGCUUUGCAAAGAGCUAUAUCUGACCACACACCUCUCCUAGUGGACUCGGGAGAGGCAAAUCAUGUGGGAAAUAGAAAUAUCUUUUCUUUUGAAUUAAGUUGGUUUGAAAGAGAAGGUUUCAUGGAUCUCAUAGCCGAAGAAUGGGCAAGGGAUUCGGGUGGGAUAACGAAUAUCGAAAUAUGGCAAAACAAAAUUCAAAAUUUACGUCAGUUUUUAAGAGGAUGGGCAAAAAAUCAGAGUGAUAAAUAUAGACUUGAAAGAGAAUUACUCAUUCGUCUGAUUGAUGAACUAGACAUUAAAGCGGAGUCUGAUCAUCUCAAUUUGACGGAUAGGAAUAAAAAGAUUGACGCUGAGAGGAAGUUGCAAAAACUCCUAAGAGAAGAGGAGAUGAAAUGGGCAACUAGAGCCAAGGUGGCAAAGGUGGUUCAUGGGGAUAUAACACACAAUUCUUUCACAUGAUUGCAAAUGGCAAACACAGGAAGAAAAAAAUUACUCAACUUGAGCAAGAUGAAGGAACAAUUAUAGGACACGAGAAUUUAAAAUUAUAUAUCUCUGAAUAUUACAAAAAUAUAUUUGCUAAACCAGAAGAGACGGGGGUCUCUCUCGAUGAAAGCAUCAAUCAUGAUAUACCACAACUAAAUGCAGAUGAGAAUGAGGUGCUAUCAGCUCCAUUCACAGAGAAGGAAGUAUAUGACUCAAUAACACAAAUGAAAUUAAAUAAAGCACCGGGACCAGAUGGGUUCCCUGCAGGGUUUUAUAAGAAAUGUUGGCAUAUCAUUAAGGGUGACUUGAUGCCUAUGUUUCAUGAUUUAUUUAAUGGUCAGUUGCCAAAAAAGGUCGAAGCUAUUCGAAUUGAACAGUUUAGACCGAUAUGUCUGCUGAAUGUGAGUUUCAAGAUUUUUACAAAAGUUGGUACAAACAGAUUAACAAAGAUAUCUAAUUCUGUAGUCCAACCGACAGAGACUGCGUUCAUGCCUGGGAGGCACAUCUUGGAGGGUGUUGUUGUCCUGCAUGAAACGUUGCAUGAAAUCCAUACAAAGAAACUUGAUGGGGUUAUAUUUAAAGUGGCUUUCGAGAAAGCAUAUGAUAAAGUCAAAUGGUCUUUUCUCCAACAGGCCUUACGUAUGAAAGGAUUCAAUGAUAGAUGGAGAAAUCAGGUUGAUAAUCUCAUCCAAAAAGGGAGUGUAAGUGUUAAAGUUAAUGAUGACAUAGGUCAUUUUUUUCAAACACAUAAGGGACUGAAGCAAGGUGAUUCAUUAUCCCCCGUGUUGUUUAACAUAGUUGCAGACAUGUUAGCAAUACUAAUAGAAAGAGCCAAAGAAAAAGGCCAAGUUGGAGGCCUCAUACCACAUCUCGUAGAAGGGGGGGUGUCUAUUUUACAAUAUGCGGAUGAUACACUUAUUUUCAUGGAGCACGAUAUGGCCAAAGCAAGGAACAUGAAACUAUUAUUGUGUCUUUCUGAACAAUUAUCAGGACUAAAAAUAAAUUUCGACAAAAGCGAAGUUUUCUGCUUUGGAAAGGCAAAAGAUGAACAAGACGCUUAUAGACAACUUUUUGGAUGUGAAAUGGGAUCACUACCAUUUAGCUAUCUUGGGAUUCCUAUUCAUCAUAGGCGACUGACGAAUAAGGAAUGGAAAUGUAUUGAACAUAGAUUUGAAAAAAAAUUAAGUUGUUUGAAGGGCAAGCUUAUGUCAUAUGGAGGACGGCUAGUAUUAAUAAAUUCGGUGUUAACUAGCCUACCCAGGUUUCUCUUGUCUUUUUUGAAAUACCAGUAGGGGUUCGGAAAAGACUAGAUUUUUAUAGGUCUCAUUUUUCUGGCAAAGUGAUGAGGUCAAGAAGAAAUACAGACUGACACGUUGGGAUAUUAUAUGUAGACCUAAAGAACGGGGGGGGGGGGAAUGGGUAUUGAAAACUUAGAAGUGAAGAACAUAUGCCUUCUCAGCAAAUGGCUUUUUAGGUUAUCUACGGGAAACCGAAGGAAUGUGGUUUCAAAUACUCAAGAAUAAAUACUUACAUUCAAAAACUUUAGCAUAGGUUAAACUUAGACCAGAGGAUUCCCCUUUGUGGAAAGGGCUAAUGAAGAUAAAGGUGACCUUUUUCUAGUGGGUAAGGUUUGUAGUUGGGGAUGGUGCAUCAACAAGGUUUUUGGAGGACACUUGGUUGGGAGACACUCCUUUAGCCCUUCAGUACCCAAAAUUAUAUAACAUUGCCCAACGUAAAGAUGAAUAUGUUGCCACGGUACUUCAAUCCAUACCACUUAACAUGCAAUCUAGGAGAACUCUAGUUGGACCACGAUGGAACACAUGGUUACAUCUGGUCAGAAGGCUAAUGCAGAUUCAGUUAUCUCACCAGACAUAUACUAUUCGUUGGACUUUGGUUGCCAACGGAGUAUUCUCAGUUAAAUCCAUGUACAUUGAUCUCAUUAACACUCGACCAAUAUCUAGAUCAUUACAUAUCUGGAAAAUCAAGGUGCCCCUAAGGAUUAAAAUUUUCAUGUGGUUCAUACACAAGGGUGUGGUAUUAACCAAAGUUAAUUUAACAAAACGAAGAUGGAGAGGCAGGGUGAUUUGUUGUUUUUGUGAGCAAAACGAAACAAUUAAACAUCUUUUCUUAGACUGUCCUCUUGCAAAACUUCUAUGGCGCACCUUACAUAUAGCUUUUAAUAUAUCUCCACCCACAUGUAUGAAUUCGUUAUUCACAACGUGGCUCAAUGUAGUGGACGGCAGAAUAAACUUAUUAGAAUUGGAGUCUGUGCGUUUUUUUGGGCUAUAUGGAAUACUAGGACUGACAUGAUUUUUAAUGGCAAGAAUUUCAACAACUUUUUGCAGGUUAUUUUCAGAGCAACAUCCUGGAUCCGUAUGUGGUCGUUACUCAGUCAUGUGGAAUCCAGGGAUCUUAUGGAUAUUGGGUGCAACCGAUGGGAGACGGCCUCUCGGAUUAUCUUCAACCGAUUUGGAUGGUGUGCUAAUAAUAGGCUAGGUGUAUAGGCAUCGUAGUCUGUUAUCAGUUAAGCCGGAUGUGGAAUUUAUUUUUUUAAUUUUUGUAUUGAGAUUCAGAGAUUUGUGGACAUAGACACAUUUUCCAUUUAUUAUUAAUAAUACGGCUGCAUGCAUCGAUUGAUGCAGAGGCAGGGGCUCGUUUCCUCCUUUUCAAAAAAAAACAUGGAGGCCACCAUUGUUGUGUUUGAUGGAUGUGGCACUACUUAGUUAGUGCCCCUGCUUGCUGUGCCGGUCGAGCUAUUUGUAGAUGACCGGGAAGAAGAGAAAGUGAGAAACUAGAGAGAAAAGUGGAAAAUUUGCUUUGGAAAUUUGCCGGCACGCCGAGAGCGACGGUUCCCAGCUAGUGAUCUCGGGCUGGAAAAACAAUGCAUUUGACAGGGACGACCGAGUGAGUAUAGUCAGAGCAUCUCCAACAGCCGCGUUAUACUAGCGCCGCGCCGCAAAAAAGGCAAUUAUAGCGCGCGCGCAAUGCGGCGAACAGCUCCAGCGGGCGCGCAAAAAUCGCGCGUGCGCUAAAAUGAGUUGGACGCGCUGGCCAUAGCCUCAUCCCGUGCUGUAUAUUUCGGGCGUCCACUUCUGCGCGCGGCAGACUCGAGCGCGCGCGCGAACUCGCCAUUUUCUUCCUCCUUUGCACCCGCGCGCGCUGGCGCCAGCGCCCCUGCCACCAUGGACGCGCACACCGGCACCCCGCUGACCCCGCUGUACAGCCGCGACCCCCCCGCCGCCGCCGCCACCGAAAACCCUAGCGCGGCGAGCGUUGGCGUUGGCGCCGCCGCCGCCGCCAAAGCUCCGCCGACCGUCGGCCUCGCGCGCAGCCUCUUCUUGCCGCCGCGGAUGACCACGCCGACGGGUGGCGUCGCGCCGGCGCCGUCCCGUGCCGCCGCCGCACCGUGAAAGCUCCCCAAUGCGUCGGAUCCGAAGAAAGGAAAAACAUCCGCGAAGAAGAAGGCGACGGACGGCUCCGGCAGCUCGAAGGCGAAGAAGAAGCUUGCAGGGCGACGGAAGGCGAAGAAGAAGCUUGCAGGCACCUCCGGCCAUGGGUGGAAUGUCUUUCGAUGUGCCUCACGCACAUACCCAUGAAAAUGCCGUUGAAGAUCUUGCCAAGACCGUCGGAGCUACACGUGAUGCGGUGUGUGAUGAGGUUAGGGAGGAAGAUUCAUCUUCGAAGGCGGAAGAAUCGUCUUCGGAAGAAGAGGAAGAAGACGAGGAAGAUGGUUGAUGUGUUUAUAUGUCUUCAACUAUGUUGGAUGAACUUGUAUUUUGAACUUGGUUUGCAUUUUAAACUUGGUUGGAUGAACUUGUGGACAUGACUUUUAUUCAUCAACUUGUUUGUGUUAAAUUUCACAUGUUCAUUGCAUUUUGAUGAAUGUUUUAAACUAUUUUUUGUCCAAAUGCCAUAUAUUUGGGUGUUGCUGGAGCGGCGCGCGCUGCAUUUUUGCGCGCUGCUGGAGCGGAGCGCGCGCGCUGCAUUUUAAAGCUGCUGCUGGAGCCAGCGCUGUGCGACACGCCAAACCAGGCGCUGGCAAACAUGUUUUUUAGGCGCGGCGCGAAGCGCGGCUGUUGGAGAUGCUUUUAGGAGCGGCCCCACGUUAGCCCAGCAGGUAGCCCAUAACACCGGGUAAAAAACUGACUUACCUUAUACAUAUAAAGCUCAGGAGGACGUGGACACCCCUAAAAUUCGUAAUGGGCACCUGUACAGAUCAAAAGGCCACAACUAGCUAACUAAUCCCUGUAGUACAUUAGAAUCGAUCUGUACGUACACCUGCGCAUCGAUCGCCGCUCCGCCAGACGCCCAGACUAAGGUAGUACUAGUACAUGAGAAUCGUGAAUCGAUCUGUGGCCUGUAGGAUUCAUCUAUACAUUCAUCUGUAGGAUUCAUCUGUACGUACUGUCUGCCUGCCUGUUCGUCUCUCUAGGGGCUUGCGUGUCUCGCUGCUCGGCCGCUGCAGCGCUGCACUUUGGCCUGUCGCCUCGCCGCCCUAGCCUGAUAAUCUAGUUCGUCAGAUCGCCCCAAUUCAUUCAAUAUCAGUAAAGGUAUGUUGCAUUAGACCCAAUUCGCAGUAUGUCUGUCCCUAUUUCAAUUCGUAAAUUCUGUUGUAGUUCUUAUUUUGUCUCUCUAACCCUAGGGAAUUGGGGCUACUGGAUAAGACAACAAAUUUUAACUGUAUUAGCUAUUGGACUAUUUGUCUUUUGUAAUGGUUAGUGGAGAAUAAUACUACAAUACUUACGAGAUUACAAAUUACUACGGCCGGAAGCAGCGGCAAGGCAGCAACAUGUCAAGUACGUUGUAUUUUACUUGCAAUCCCCUGAAUAAUUAUACACAUGAUUCCUAGUUUUUCCCUUUUGUGAAGAAAUAGAUGAUUAUCUAAAUAAUUACAAAUUGCAGGAGAAGCUCAGUUUAUGGAUAGGUUUCUAAAAAAAGGAAAACCAUAGUGCAAGAUGAAGGUCCAUCACACGAACAUAAUCAGAAUGAUGCCUCGAUCCCGCCACAGAUUGACGUCCCAGCCCCGCCAUCACCACCUGGACAAAAUGAUGCCUCAACACCUGAAUCUAGUUCUACCAAUAAUACAAGGAAUUCAAUUCAAGUUGAAGAAGAUAUCAAUUGGGGAAAUGGUAUACCAAUAUGUGAAUCCAAAGAGGCCACGGGCAAAAUCAGGUACCACUAAUAGGCAUCAUUAUGAAGUGAAUUGUUUUAAUGAUGUUAUUGAUUGGCUGCUUCAAGAACUUGGUAACCGUUUCAAUGUGAAAAAUUCUGAACUACUUGUCUGCUCAGCGGCUUUGAGCCCAAAUGAAUCAUUUUGUGAUUUCAACUUAGAGCAUUUGAUGAGUCUAGCCAAACUUUAUCCAAAAGAUUUUGAUGAUGGAGAACUGAGGGACCUUAGACAUCACAUUCAUCCUUACAUUGCUGAUGUCCGAGCAGAUGAUCGUUUCUCUGGUUUAAGUAAUAUUUGUGAGCUCUCUCAAAAAAUGGUGGAUACAAAGAAACAUAUUGUAUAUCCCUUGGUUUAUCGCCUUUUGAAGCUAGCACUAGUAUUGCCAGUUGCCACGGCUACAGUUAAAAGAUCUUUUUCAGCUAUGAGAAUUGUGAAGACAUAUUUGUGCAGUCGUCUUGGUGACGCCGCAUUGAAGUACAACCUUAUUUGUUAUGUGGAGAAAAGAGAAAUAAGGAAGGCUACUAAUGAUGCAAUGAUUGGUCGGUUUGAGGACAUGAAAGAAUGUAGGAAACCAUUUUAGCAAGGUAAUGGUUUUAUCUUCUUUAUUACACAGCUGUAAUUAAUAUGUUGCUAAGUGGCUUUUUUUAUUUGUAGGCAAUCAGGAUCUAUGAUGCAUUUUCUCGUCAUCGGUUAUACUUAAUGUUGGGUAAUGUAGCAUAAAUUCAAAAAUUUCCUACGCAUAUUCAGAUCUUCCUAUGGAAAGACCAUCAACGAGAGAGGGGUAAGAGCAUCUUCAUACCUUUGAAGAUCGCUAAGCGGAAGCGUUGCUAGAACACGGUUGAUGGAGUCGUACUCGUAGCGAUUCAGAUCGCGGUGUGAUUCUGAUCUAGUGUCGAACUACGGCACCUCCGCAUUCAACACACGCGCAGCCCGGUGACGUCUCCCGCACCUUGAUCCAGCAAGGAGGAGGGAGAGGUUGGGAAAGAACUCCAGCAGCACGACGGCGUGGUGUCGAUGGAGAGACGAGGUCUCCCGGCAGGGCUUCGCCAAGCACCGGCAGAGAGGAGGAGAAAGAAGGGCAGGGCUGCGCCGAGGGAGAGCGUGAAGUCUGUCUCCCAAGGGCCAAAACCCCUCUCUAUUUAUAGGAGGAGGGGGAAGGGCUGCGCCACCCCUAGGGUUCCCUCCCUAGGGGUCGGCGGCCACAAGAUGGGAGAGGGGGGCGGCGGCUAGGGUGGGAGGGGGUGGCGCACCACCUGGUGGGCGUAAGGCCCACCUACGCCUAGGGUUGCCCCCUCUGCCCACCACUUGCGCAUUGGGCUGGGUGUGGGAGGUGCACCAGCCCACCUAGGGGCUGGUUCUCUCCCACACUUGGUCCAUCUAGCUGUUGGGGAACGUCGCAUGGGAAACAAAAAAAUUUCCUACGCGCGCGAAGACCUAUCAUGGUGAUGUCCAUCUACGAGAGGGGAUUUCCGAUCUACGUACCCUUGUAGAUCACACAGCAGAAGCGUUAGUGAACGCGGUUGAUGUAGUGGAACGUCCUCACGUCCCUCGAUCCGCCCCGCGAACUGUCCCACGAACCAUCCCGCGAUCCGUACCACGAUCCGCUCCGAUCUAGUGCCGAACGGACGGCACCUCCGCGUUCAGCACACGUACAGCUCGACGAUGAUCUCGGCCUUCUUGAUCCAGCAAGAGAGAUGGAGAGGUAGAUGAGUUCUCCUGCAGCGUGACGGCGCUCCGGAGGUUGGUGGUGAUCUAAUCUCGGCAGGGCUCCGCCCGAGCUCCGCAGAAACGCGAUCUAGANNNNNNNNNNNNNNNNNNNNNNNNNNNNNNNNNNNNNNNNNNNNNNNNNNNNNNNNNNNNNNNNNNNNNNNNNNNNNNNNNNNNNNNNNNNNNNNNNNNNGCAUGUUUUACGUGGUGACCAUGGGUAUCUAGUAGGAUCACAUCUUACUUACGCAAACACCACAACGGAGAUAUAUGAAUUGCUAUUUAACCUCAUCCAAGGACCUCCUCGGUCAAUUCCGAUUCAACUAAAGUUGGAGAAACUGACACCCGCCAGUCAUCUUUGAGCAACGGAGUUACUCGUAGCGAUGAAACUAGUCUCUCGUAAGCGUACGAGUAAUGUCGGUCCGAGCCGCUUCGAUCCAACAAUACCGCGGAAUCAAGAAAAUACUAAGGAGGGCAGCAAAACGCACAUCACCGCCCACAAAAACUUUUGUGUUCUACUCGAGAAGACAUCUACGCAUGAACCUAGCUCAUGAUGCCACUGUUGGGGAACGUCGCAUGGGAAACAAAAAAAUUCCUACGCUCACGAAGUCCUAUCAUGGUGAUGUCCAUCUACGAGAGGGGAUUUCCGAUCUANNNNNNNNNNNNNNNNNNNNNNNNNNNNNNNNNNNNNNNNNNNNNNNNNNNNNNNNNNNNNNNNNNNNNNNNNNNNNNNNNNNNNNNNNNNNNNNNNNNNNNNNNNNNNNNNNNNNNNNNNNNNNNNNNNNNNNNNNNNNNNNNNNNNNNNNNNNNNNNNNNNNNNNNNNNNNNNNNNNNNNNNNNNNNNNNNNNNNNNNNNNNNNNNNNNNNNNNNNNNNNNNNNNNNNNNNNNNNNNNNNNNNNNNNNNNNNNNNNNNNNNNCUCGACGAUGAUCUCGGCCUUCUUGAUCCAGCAAGAGAGACGGAGAGGUAGAUGAGUUCUCCGGCAGCGUGACGGUGCUCCGGAGGUUGGUGGUGAUCUAAUCUCAGCAGGGCUCCGCCCGAGCUCCGCAGAAACGCGAUCUAGAGGAAAAACCGUGGAGGUAUGUGGUCGGGCUGCCGUGGCAAAAGUUGUCUCAAAUCAGCCCUAAUACCUUAGUAUAUAUAGGAGGGAGGGGGAGGGAAGAGGCAGCCUCAAACCUAUAUAUCAAUCUUUACUAGGGGCUGGUUUAUCUCUUCCCAUAGCCCAUGAUACCCCCUUGGGGCGUGACACCCCUCCCGAUGGUCCCCGACACCCCUCCCGGCACUCCCGGAACACGUAGGAUUCCACCUUCCCACUUGGAAACUCUUUCCACCUUGUGUUUUUUCCUUCUCAAACCUUAUGGGCCUUAGUGGGAACUUAUUCCAGCCCACUAGGGGCUGGUUUAUCUCUUUCCAUAGCCCAUGAGACCCCUUGGGGCGUGACACCCCUCCCGAUGGUCCCCGGCANNNNNNNNNNNNNNNNNNNNNNNNNNNNNNNNNNNNNNNNNNNNNNNNNNNNNNNNNNNNNNNNNNNNNNNNNNNNNNNNNNNNNNNNNNNNNNNNNNNNUAUAUAUAGAUUUUUCUUACACUCGCCACAAGCUACAUCAGAGUCACAUCAGUACAUUACAUAAUCAUCAAGAGUAAGAGCAGGGUCCGACUACGGAUGAAAAUAAACGACAAAAGAAGAACGACGUCCAUCCUUGCUAUCCCAGGCUGCCGGCCUGGAACCUAUCCUAGAUCGAUGAAUAAUAAGAAGAAGAAGCAACUCCAAAUGAACAAUCAACGCGCUCGCGUCAAGUAACCUGUACCUGUACCUGCAACUGGUGUUGUAGUAAUCUGUGAGCCACAGGGGACUCAGCAAUCUCAUUUCCAAAGGUAUCAAGACUAGCAAAGCUUAAUGGGUGAGGUAUGGUUAAGUGGUGAGGUUGCAGCAGCAGCUAAGCAUAUAUUUGGUGGCUAACUUAUGAGUACAAAAAAUAAGAGAGGGAAGAUCUACGCAUAACGGACGUGAACUACUGAUGAUCAAAUGAAUGAUCCUGAACACCUACCUACGUCAGACAUAACCCCACCGUGUCCUCGAUCGGAGAAGGAACUCACGAAAGAGACAGUCACGGUUACGCACAUAGUUGGCAAGUUUUAAUUAAGUUAACUUCAAGUUAUCUAGAACCAGUGUUAAACAAAGUUUCCACGUUGCCACAUAACCGCGGGCACGGCUUUCCGAAAAGAUUUAACCCUGCAGGGGUGCUCCAACUAGUCCAUCACAAAUUACCACAAGCCGCAUAGAAAUCCUCAAUCAUGAAGCUCGCGAUCUCGUCGGAUUCCCUAGUGGAAAACUUCAACUCUCAGAUUACCCAAAGCAUCACCGGAAUUNNNNNNNNNNNNNNNNNNNNNNNNNNNNNNNNNNNNNNNNNNNNNNNNNNNNNNNNNNNNNNNNNNNNNNNNNNNNNNNNNNNNNNNNNNNNNNNNNNNNAUGUCUACAUAGUUCUCGAACCCGCAGGGUCUGCACACUUAAGGUUCGACGUUGUUUUAUGCGUAUUUGAGUUAUAUGGUUGGUUACCGAAUGUUGUUCGGAGUCCCGGAUGAGAUCACGGACGUCACGAGGGUUUCCGGAAUGGUCCGGAAACGAAGAUUGAUAUAUAGGAUGACCUCAUUUGAUUACCGGCAGGACAUCACGAGGAGCUCCGGAAUCGUCCGGAGGUAAAGAUUGAUAUAUAGGAAGUCCUGUUUUGGUCAUCGGAAAAGUUUCGGGCUCAUCGGUAGUGUACCGGGAGUGCCGGGAGGGGUGCCGGGGACCAUCGGGAGGGGUGUCACGCCCCAAGGGGAUAUCAUGGGCUAUGGGAAGAGAUAAACCAGCCCCUAGUGGACUGGAAUAAGUUCCCACUAAGGGCCAUAAGGUUUGAGAAGGAAAAAACACAAGGUGGAAAGAGUUUCCAAGUGGGAAGGUGGAAUCCUACUCCAAGUAGGAUUGGAGUAGGACUCCUCCACCUCCAAUUUCGGCCAAACCUUGAGGGUUUGAGGCUGCCUCUUCCCUCCCCCUCCCUCCUAUAUAUACUGAGGNNNNNNNNNNNNNNNNNNNNNNNNNNNNNNNNNNNNNNNNNNNNNNNNNNNNNNNNNNNNNNNNNNNNNNNNNNNNNNNNNNNNNNNNNNNNNNNNNNNNAUCCUAGAUCGAUGAAUAAUAAGAAGAAGAAGCAACUCCAAAUGAACAAUCAACGCGCUCGCGUCAAGUAACCUGUACCUGUACCUGCAACUGGUGUUGUAGUAAUCUGUGAGCCACAGGGGACUGACCCAAGAGACUCCUCGGUCAAUAUCCAAUAGCGGGACCUGGAUGCCCAUAUUGGAUCCUACAUAUUCUACGAACCACUGGUUCUAGAUAACUUGAAGUUAAUUUAAUUAAAAUAUGCCAACUGUGUGCGUAACCGUGACUGUCUCUUUCGUGAGUUCUUCUCCGAUCGAGGACACGGUGGGGUUAUGUCUGACGUAGGUAGGUGUUCAGGAUCAUCCAUUUGAUCAUCAGUAGUUCACGUCCGUUAUGCGUAGAUUUUCCCCCUCUUAUCACUUGUACUCGUAAGUUAGCCACCAUAUAUAUGCUUAGCCGCUGCUGCAACCUCACCACUUAACCAUGCCUCACCCAUUAAGCUUUGCUAGUCUUGAUACCUUUGGAAAAGAGAUUGCUGAGUCCCCUGUGGCUCACAGAUUACUACAACACCAGUUGCAGGUACAGAUAAAGGUUACCUGACGCGAGCGCGUUGAUUGUUCAUUUGGAGUUGCUUCUUCUUCUUCUUCAUUGAUCUAGGAUGGGUUCCAGGCCGGCAGCCUGGGAUAGCAAGGAUGGACGUCGUUCUUCNNNNNNNNNNNNNNNNNNNNNNNNNNNNNNNNNNNNNNNNNNNNNNNNNNNNNNNNNNNNNNNNNNNNNNNNNNNNNNNNNNNNNNNNNNNNNNNNNNNNCCCCCCCCCCCCCACCCCGGAAACUUUUCCGAUGACCAAAACAGGACUUCCUAUAUAUCAAUCUUUACCUCCGGACGAUUCCGGAGCUCCUCGUGAUGUCCUGGAUCUCAUCCGGGACUCCGAACAAUAUUCGGUAACCAACCAUAUAACUCAAAUACGCAUAAAACAACGUCGAACCUUAAGUGUGCAGACCCUGCGGGUUCGAGAACUAUGUAGACAUGACCCGAGAGACUCCUCGGUCAAUAUCCAAUAGCGGGACCUGGAUGCCCAUAUUGGAUCCUACAUAUUCUCCGAAGAUCUUAUCGUUUGAACCUCAGUGCCAAGGAUUCAUAUAAUCCCGUAUGUCAUUCCCUUUGUCCUUCGGUAUGUUACUUGCCCGAGAUUCGAUCGUUAGUAUCCGUAUACCUAUUUCAAUCUCGUUUACCGGCAAGUCUCUUUACUCGUUCCGUAAUACAAGAUCCCGCAACUUACACUAAGUUACAUUGCUUGCAAGGCUUGUGUGUGAUGUUGUAUUACCGAGUGGGCCCCGAGAUACCUCUCCGUUCACACGGAGUGACAAAUCCCAGUCUUGAUCCAUACUAACUCAACUAACACCUUCGGAGAUACCUGUAGAGCAUCUUUAUAGUCACCCAGUUACGUUGCGACGUUUGAUACACACAAAGCAUUCCUCCGGUGUCAGUGAGUUAUAUGAUCUCAUGGUCAUAGGAAUAAAUACUUGACACGCAGAAAACAGUAGCAACAAAAUGACACGAUCAACAUGCUACGUCUAUUAGUUUGGGCCUAUUCCAUCACGUGAUUCUCCUAAUGACGUGAUCCAGUUAUCAAGCAACAACACCUUGUUCAUAAUCAGAAGACACUGAUUAUCUUUGAUCAACUGGCUAGCCAACUAGAGGCUUGCUAGGGACGGUGUUUUGUCUAUGUAUCCACACAUGUAAAUGAGUCUUCAUUCAAUACAAUUAUAGCAUGGAUAAUAAACGAUUAUCUUGAUACAGGAAUUAUAAUAAUAACUAUAUUUAUUAUUGCCUCUAGGGCAUAAUUCCAACAACAACAGGGUGGUGCCUUACCGCACCGGAGGCACACACGCAACAGGGUGGUGUCCGAACUAAAAAGGGGUUUGCUGCUGCUAAUCUUUUGGAGAAGUUGGUAUGUUCGCAAUCAACCAGUACACUCUAAACCCGCUCCUCCACUAUCGGUCUCGGUGAAAUUCCUGCAGGAUUAUGUUGAGGCGUUAUCAAGCAUUAAUGAAGGCUCUUCCAAGGAUCUGAUCGAAGGGAAACGGAGUUAUAGUUUCAGCAAAACCCCAUCUAAAAGAGUAGGAGAGAUUAGUCGUGCUACCCCUUGGAAACCACCCCCAUCAGGUUGGGUUAAACUGAACAUAGAUGGCUCUUUCUCGGAAGAUGGUGGUGCUGGGGUAGGUAUGAUCCCGAGGGACAACUUGGGGGUUAUUGUGUUCUCCUCUUGCAUAUCUCUUUUCUCUUGCAGAGAUGCUUUGGAGGCCGAAGUGUGUGCUUGUAUGGAAGGGAUUUCCUUUGCCAUUCAACGAUCCGACCUGCCAAUUCUGAUAGAGAUGGACUCGAGCAGAGUUGUGGCGAUGAUUUCAAGCGGUGGACCGGAUCGAUCGAUGUAUGCUUCACUAGUUGGUGAAAUUAAAUAUCUUAUGAGCCUUAGGAAAACUUGUAUUAAUCUUAUCCCUAGAUCUUAAAAUAAACCUUCUGAACGCCUUGCUAGUUUUGGUAGGAUCGAAGGUAGAACUAUGACUUGGGUUAGUUCUGCUCCUGAGGAUGUCUUGAAGCUGGUCUUGGAUGAUUGUAUAGACCCUCAUAUUGAGUAAUACAAGUAUUAUUCCCGCAAAAAGAAAAACAAAUGAACAAGACAUAAAGAAAAUGUUUCUUUCCAAAUUUAUUGUUCGUGCAAGAGCAUAUGAGCUCGGGUUUAAUUUUCAGUACCGUAUGAGCACGUCCUUUUUUCCUUUUAAUAAAUGCAUUUGUUUUUCCUUUUGUUGCCUGCUAUUGCAGGCUGAACGCGACCGAACAAUAUUUGGCACGACCAUUUUGCCUCAUGUCGAUCAUUUUGAAACCAGCGUUUUGUUUUUUUCUACGACAUAAGAAUGAGGUAACACGCGGUAUUGGUUUUGGACCUGCUGCCUGCUGCCUGCUGGUGCCCUUGGGCUGGGCCACGGGACAAAGUCUUGGUCAACCACACACCCAACCAACACUGACCACGACUCGCCAUGGUACGUGUACUUGGCAGGACUAGUAAACAUGCACGUGCAAAUGCACGUCUCAACUGAUAUACAAAUAUAUGUUAAAAUUAACAUGAAUAAAAAAAUAGUCAUUAAGAGGAUCUCCAAGUUCAACAACCACAAGCAAAAACUUAGAAUGAACAAAACACUUGACUCCACCGAAAAACAAACACUUGACUUCUUAUUCAUUUAAGAUCUAUAUGCCUUGUUUGAUCAAAAUUUGACAAAAAACGGGCUGAAUUAAAUUUAAUGGCCUUUUCAAAUGUAUAUAAACUUUACCUAAAAUUAUCAGUAUUAUAUUAGAUAAAAAAAUGGCAUCAUGUAGGCAUGGGUACUCGAUAUGUUCAAAAAUCAAAUAAUCCAAUCCACACUUAAUCAGGUCUCACAUUACAAAUCGUCACAUAAAUUUAAAGAAAGAGAUUUGUAGUUUGAUCUGCCCUCUCUUCCUUCUUAAACCAAAUAGUCGAUCCACACUUAACCCUAGUGCAAAUAUAUGUUCAAAUUAACAUGAAUAGAAAGAUAGUUUGGUCGCACCUAAAAUAUUACAAAUCAAGAAAACAUUUCCGGGUAACAUCACAUGCAUGGAGACAAAAAAUACACUAUUAUCUUAGCAUUUUCUAAUACUGCUAAUCAUUGCUCGUGCGACGGGAUGCUUGCACUUUGGGUUCCCCACCUGCACGGCUUCAUUCGCAAUAGAGAACUCUUUGGGCAGAGAAGAUCAGAAAGAUACAUGCUGAUGUACAACAUUUCUAACACCCGGGAAUCGAUCAGCCCAGCGCCUAUAACCUGCAACCAGUACAAAAGGGAAGUUAGAUAAUGCUGUUUCAAAUCACAGAUCACACACAUCGAAUGAGUGUCGCGUUCUCUUCCUCUUUCAUUUGUAAGUUCGACGGGUUACUGUGUUUACCUGAUGCAAUGAUUUGCUUUUGGUUAAGCUGUUCACUAUCGUCGUCAGGGAUAUCCUGUAGGCCAAAUUCAGAAAGCCAACAUCAAACAAACACAUCCAGAAUUAGAAAAGGAAGCAAACGCAUGCGGGAGGAGAAAAAUCUCACUUAAGAGAUGAUGGCAUUAUUACCUGAUGCAAGCUUCUGGCAAUGAGGUCAGACAAUCUCCCAAGGGUCUUGGGGUCAAAACCUGAGCAGCUCAAGAGAAACUCUUAUGAUGUCAACUCCAUCACCAUCGUGCAUAAGCUGGCGGCUGUCAUGAUGACUGAUGAAGCAUCUGUUGUUCCUAUAAGCUCACACAUUCAUACUUAAUGAUCAGCUCACAUUCAAGAAAAAAGAGAGCUACCGGUCAACCCGUGAAGAGAAUCAACAUGAAAAUGAGUAUCAAUAUUUAGCAUGAUAUUUAUGUCUGGAUUAGUUCAUUUCUCCUUGGUUAGUGAAUAUCUCUACCAGAGAUAGAUCCUCGUAUCCUGCUAUAGGACUACAUGUAAGAGAUGCCAGAUAUGCCAACAGGCAGAUAUUCAAGCAGCUAUAAAAUUAUUGCCAUGAUCAUGGUUCAGAAACCAGUGCCAGGUUUCAAUCAAAAUUGAUCCAUAUAUGAUUUGACGUGUUUCUAAAAGGGUGCUGGUUUACGACAUUAAUGACACCAUUUGACCGUCAGUGUUUGCAGUGAUGUGUAUUUGUAUUACUUAGACAUCAAAACUUCAACAACUCAUCUGUAACAAUUUGAAAAAUAAAGAACAAACGUAAACUGACCCAGCAGCGGUUUUGAGAUUAAAGCAGUUUUUUGAACCUUUGCCAGGACAACCAAUGUGCACUUUGACAACUAUGCACAGACCAACAGAGGGAAGUAAUUUCUGAAGUAUGUCUGAUUCCAGUUACAAUGUUGAGUAUAUAACAAGAUGCAGAUAUCCAGAGGCAAUCGUCUCUUCCCAGAUUUUAGUAACAGAAUUUGUCACGCUCACUAAGAGGGCAGCCUGGUGCACGUAGCUCCCACUUGCACAGGCUCCGACCACUUUGGGUCCUUUGUACGCAGCCUUUCCCUGCAUUUCUGCAAGAGGCUGUUUCCAGGACUCGAACCCGUGACCUCAUGGUCACAAGGAUUUCACAAGGAUUUGUCACGCUUACUAAAUUCAGGUAAAAUAAAUGAAAGAAUCAGACAUUUUGAAAUGCCUACAACUGAGAGACACCCUAGAAACAAUAUGUAAGUAUAUCCUUUUCAGCUUAUGUAAAGAAAUUAGGAGCAGAAUGUACCAGCCCAUGCAAUAAGUGCUUGCAAGAGGCGGUUGAAUCAAGGCUCCAUUUGAAUAGGAUAAUAUGAAUGAACGUAAUGAUCCAAGGUGGAGCUUACCAAGUAUAGAUAUUAUGUAGUGCAUACAAGCGGUAGCACACCAAACACCAAAAGCUGCAAUUAGAAACAUACAAUGUUAAUCCAAAAAAGUUAUCUUGUGUACAAGCACCAAACCAAGAAUCCAAAGUUCAGAGAGCAAACCUAUGUUAGCCCUCCAAGACAUCUCUGUACACUAUGUUCUUGGUGCUUUUACCCGUUUGAUCUAUUUCUUUAUUUGGCUUUGCUAGAACCCGAGUUGUCUGCCUUGACACACCCCUUGACAGUGCAACAUAAAGAUGUCCGUGCGAGAAUACAGGCCCCGGAAGGUAAAUACCAACAAUUGGGAUGGUUUGCCCCUGGGCUUUGUUUAUCGUCAUAGCAAAACUCAGACGAAUAGGGAACUGCUUCCUCUUAAACUUGAAAGGAAGUGAAAUAUCCUCUGAGGGGGCCAUCGGGAUCCUAGGGAUGAACACUCUCUUUCCAGCAUGUUGUCCACCAACAAUCUCGGCGUCGAUUGCGUUAUUUUGGAACACUCUAAUCAUCAAUCUCGUUUCGUUGCAUAGGCCAUUGUUAGGAUCGAGAUUUCGAAGCAGAAUGACAGGACAAUUGACUUCAACUUUUAGAAUGUGGGGAGGCAAGCCAUUUGGAGUGAGGCUGUUCAGAUAGUCAAUUGGGUAGCUAUUGCGUGUAUCAUCAUCGACGGAAUCAAAGCUAUAGUAUACUUUUUCUUGUCCAGGAAAUCUGUCAAUCAUCUUUGUAUUUAGGUCGUCCACGUGGUCAUUCUUAGUGGAAAGAAUAGCACGUGUGCUCAUGUAGGCACCGGAUGAUGCGUUCUCAUGAAGAGAUGGGAACACAUGUUCAAUAAGCUUCAUGACUGAUGCGUCACCAGGUGUGUAACCUAUCACAAUGUCAUCAGGCAGACGCACAUAAUCAUCACCGAUCGUCUCCUCCGUUCCAUUGCCAAUUCUCAAGAGGUAUUUGGAGAACCACGGGUCAGUUUGUGCUCUCAUAUUACGCGUGAGGCGUAUUUUUCUAAUUUUCUCCCAAAGGUACGAUCUUUGGAGCGUAGCGUCAGUUAUCUGUGCUCUUGUCCCUCGCGUGACCACGGGGAGGACCUGUCUAAAAUCCCCUCCAAACACCAUACCCUUUCCCCCAAAUGGCAUAGUACAUCCCAUGAUAUCCUGUAGCGACCUAUCUAGUGCCUCAACUGCUUGACGCUUCGUCAUGGCAACUUCAUCCCAAAUUAUGAGAGAUGCUCUCCGAAGCAACUCUGCAGUACCAUUCUGCUUGGUGAAGCUGCAGAUGCUAUUAUCCAUGAACUUAAUUGGAAUUUUGAACCUGGAGUGGGCGCUACGACCACCAGGCAUGAUUGAUGCAGCUAUUCCAGAUGUUGCAGUUGCAAUAGCUAUUUUACCCAAUGAACGGACUUUAGCAAGAAGCGCCUUGUAUAGGUAAGUCUUCCCCGUUCCACCGGGACCAUCAACAAAGGAAACCUGUCUCCGGUUGGUCUCCACAUGAUCAAAGAUUUCCUCAAACCCAACCCUCUGCUCAAUGUUCAGGGAUGUAUACAGAUCUAGAUGCUCUUGAUCCACACCGACCGACAACUCCUCUCGAACCUCACGCAGGAGGUCGACAGAACCAUCACCAGUGUCAACCACCUCCGGGAGGCCAUAGCUUUUAAUAUCUUUGCCCAUCGAAUGCACCAAAUCCCUGAUGUCUCUAAGGACCAUUUGUUCCAGCACGGACAGGGUGGACUGGGUACGACGGUAAUCCUCAGACAUUGACUCCAAAUGCUUCUCCCACAAUGCACGGAUGUUGGUCGGCUCGCAGAACACCAGAAUAGUUGCGAAAAGAUUUCUUAGAGCACAUGGCAUCUGAAAAGUAGCAGACUCAGUCAAGCAUUCAUCAAGUGAUUUGUCAGUCUCUAUUAGGCCCAUGAGCUCACACGCUUCUCUGAAGGUCGAGCAAAGGCUCCCAUUGACAUUUCUCAAAUCCUCAUAGGAAGUGGCACCUCUUCUAUGAUUCAGAAGCACUCUCAUGAAGUACCUCUCACCAUCAGCAGGGCGGGCAUAAACAAUCCUUCCAACUUGUCCCCGACCCCUCUGGCUUCUUUUCUGCCACAUUUUCUUACCCUUAAUCCAUCGAAAGUAUUCUGGGAACUCUUUAUACAGCAAGUUUCGUGCUUCAGGGUACAACUCAUUCAUCCUAAAGUAUUUUGUUAGCAUAGUUUUGGAAGAGGACGGUCGGUUCAUGACAUCCUCUAGGUUAUCCGUACCGUUGAAUGCAACAGUAUGCAUGUUGGGCAAAUGCAGUUGUAGUUGCAACACUGCAGGAGAGAUACCAUACAUACGGAAAGCACAUAUCCUGUACAUCGCCUCAGGUGGUAUUACACACCUUGCAUCUCUGUAUUGCCGAAUCUCAUUUAUCACACCGCCAUCAUUUUCCACAGGGUCAAGUGUGAAGGAAGCACGAUCAUGUCCCUUGUAUAUGUACUUGUACAAAUAUUUUACUGCUUUUAUGCUCGAGCAAGCUUCAACAUUAAUGUGGCAAUUAUAUCUCAUAAGCAGUCCGGGAUUGUACGGCACAACCCAUCUGUUGUCCAACACUGCAUUCCUAACUUUUAUUCGACGUCCAUCAUCCCUUCUCCUAUAGAUAGGGUAUGAGUCCUUGCCUUGUUGUGUUGCAGGGCAGAACUGUCGAGGGUAACGAAAACGACAAUUGUCAUCUAUCAUGCAAGGACAAUUCUUCUGGAGAAUACCACAUGGUCCGUGGAGCAUGUGCUUGAUAAUCAAACCAUGCAACACAGGGUACUUCUCACGGCUAGGGAUCUCCGCGGAGAUUACCCUAUCAUAGGCGUCUGGACUUGUGAGCUUACUAUCGGAGUCCAUGAUCAGCAGACUAUCGGAGUCCAUGAUAAGCAGGAAGUGCUCAUGCGGAAGACCCCUCUUUUGGAAUUCGGUAACAUGAGCAUACGGUGCAACCGGACCAAGGUACUUCUUUUUUAUGAUAAGAUCUUUCAGACUUCGCAUCUUCGCCCUGUAUACUCUGGCCACCAGGUCAGGACGGUCUUGUGGUGUUUUGUCCGGAUGCAAGUCUUGAAGUUAUCUCCUCCCAGUAAGGGUUGCAGGUCAUAGUGAUUAAGUAAUCAGGCUUCCCGUAUCUCUGGACGACGGCCAUCGCAUCAAGGAAUCUUCUCUGCAUGUCUCGAUCACCUCCCGGAAAAGUCCGAGGAAGCACGAUUCUUUUUCCAAUUUGAGCAGCACGCGUCUCUCCGGAAGCAAUCGUGUCAACAACACCCUAUGGACCAAAUGAUUCGGUUUUAUCAUUGGUUAUUGCUUUUACAAAUCAAUCAUGAUGACCACCAACAAGAAAAUACAUUAGGCUCAUACUUGGUGUUUGGAUUAUCAUAGUUAUUGGCUAACAUACAGGUGCGUGACAAAUUUUCGUAGUACGUUCAUGUGAGUGUAGAUUUAUGUUACCUGGUAGAGCUCAGCACGUCUUCGCUUUUGAUUCUGAGGCUUCGAGUAGAAAUCAAGCCUCAUAGUAUCCAUUUUGAUGUACAUGUCAACAACCCACUGUUGGAAAAGACGCCCCCCAAACGUUACCAUGUUAAAAACUCCUUCCCUGAUCUGCAACUUGUAACAGUAAUACUCCCUCGCACUGACAAAUUUUUUAGACUCGAUACCUUCGUCCUCAUAUUGUGCUUCGUUGUCAUCUACAAGAUGGUUGCAACAAGAUAUUAUGUAGGGUCCUACUAAUGAAGGUUGGAGGAAUUCAUGGUUCGUAUCCCAAUUGUUAUGACACCUUUACCUGCUUCAUGUUCAUCGUCCUGGUUGUCAUUCUCGUCCUCAUUGCCUGUCUGCGCGGGAGGUGCUCCCUCAUAUGGCAGCCAACGGUUCCAUCCGGUCUCCCCAGACGGGUAAAAUAAUGGGUAUGCCAAAGGAUCGUAGCACCCGUAGUAGGCUCUUAUGUAUAUAGGACGGCCCCCUAGUCCAUGCACCAUAACACUUCUAUCAAAGGUGUGUUGCGGGUCACUCCCUUCAACCCACAUUGCAGCCACUUGAGAGGUUGUAGGGGCAUUGUACCUCCGCUGAUCCAAUUUUAUAUUUGUAUUCAGCGUAAUCCUAUAUUCUGUUAGGUCUGGAAAAGAACCAAGUCUCUUAAAAGUUUGCACAUAUGGAUUGUUCUCCAAUAUACGCAGAAUGUUCCGUAUGAGAUUGAUAUCAAGAUCCUCUCCNNNNNNNNNNNNNNNNNNNNNNNNNNNNNNNNNNNNNNNNNNNNNNNNNNNNNNNNNNNNNNNNNNNNNNNNNNNNNNNNNNNNNNNNNNNNNNNNNNNNUUCCCAGAACGUCCUGAAAAUUUACGGAGAAUAUUUUUGGAAAAUAUAAAAAAUACCUGCGCAAAGAUCCACCUGAGGGGGUGGGCCAGUGGGCCACAAGCCCUGCCACCGCCACCCCCUGGUGGCGGAUGGCAAGCUUGUGGGGCCCACGUGGCUCUUCCGCCCCCAAUCUCAGCUCUAUAAGUUCACUUUCAUCCCAGAAAAAAUCAAGAGCUANNNNNNNNNNNNNNNNNNNNNNNNNNNNNNNNNNNNNNNNNNNNNNNNNNNNNNNNNNNNNNNNNNNNNNNNNNNNNNNNNNNNNNNNNNNNNNNNNNNNNNNNNNNNNNNNNNNNNNNNNNNNNNNNNNNNNNNNNNNNNNNNNNNNNNNNNNNNNNNNNNNNNNNNNNNNNNNNNNNNNNNNNNNNNNNNNNNNNNNNNNNNNNNNNNNNNNNNNNNNNNNNNNNNNNNNUAAUCUAUUCGUAGGCUCGCUGGGCGGUGAUGAGUAGGAUGAGAUCUAUCAUGUAAUCGAGUUAGUUUUGACGGGGAUUGAUCCCUAGUAUCCACUAUGUUCUGAGAUUGAUGUUGCUACUACUUUGCCAUGCUUAAUGCUUGUCACUAGGGCCCGAGUGCCAUGAUUUCAGAUCUGAAAUUAUUAUGCUGUCACCAAUAUAUGUAUGUUUUAGAUCCGAUAUUGCAAGUUGUAGUUACCUACUAUGUGUUAUGAUCCGGCAACCCCGGAGUGACAAUAACCGGAACCACUCGAGGUGAUGACCAUAGUUUGAGGAGUUCAUGUGUUCACCAAGUGCUAAUGUGUUGGUCUGGUUCUUUAUUAAAAGGAGAACCUUAAUAUCCCGUAGUUUCCUUUUGGACCCCGUUGCCACGGGAGGGAUGGACAAUAGAUGUCAUGCAAGUUCUUUUCCCUAAGCAUGUAUGACGACACAUGGAAUGCAAGCCUACAUCACAUUGACGAACGGGAGCUAGCCACAUAUCUCUCCGUGUUAUAACUGUUGCAUGAUGAAUAUCAUCCAAACAAAUCACCAACCCAUUGCCUACGAGUUUGUCCUAGUACUGCCGUUACUUGUCUUGCUCUGAUGCUGUUACUUGUCUUGCUCUGCUGUUACUUGUCUUGCUCAGCUGCUACUAUUGCUACUACUGUCGCUUGCUGUGUUGCUACUUGCUACUGCUGUCACUACUGAUGUUCCUUUCCACGAACAGACAAUUUCCGUCAACGAGGCAACUUGGCGCCAUUGAUACAAUCGUUAGGAAUAGUCUGCCAUCAACAGAUCGUUUCUGACACCGUUGUUAUCAUACUACUUUGCUGUUACUACUUUGCUUGCAGAUACUAAUCUUUUACGAGGCAACUUGGCGCCAUUGAUACAAUCGUUAGGAAUAGUCUGCCGUCAACAGAUCGUUUCUGACACCAUUGUUAUCAUACUACUUUGCUUGCAGAUACUAAUUUUUCAGGUGUGGUUGAAUCUGACACAUUCAGCUGCUAAUACUUGAGAGUAUCCUCUCACGUCCUAUAGGCGUACCAACAAAUUUGGGUCGAAUACUCUACCCUCGAAAACUGCUAUGAUCCCACGCGCUGGUGGGCCGUCAACAACAUUCUUCUAGUUUUGAUUGCCGGAGAGUGCUAGCAGCAUUCUUCGUGAGCGACUCUGAAAUUUGCUAGAAAUGAUUUAAUGCGCCUUUAGCACAUAAAUUGGGCAUCUCUCCAGGGCAUUUUUUUGUAGUGAUGAUUAUCCCAAUAACUAAUUGCAUUGCUUGUUGGUUCUCAAUAAAGAUUAUGCUUCUGGCGCCGUUGCCGGGGAGGUAUUGCUAUAUUCUCUGAGUCACUUGGGAUUUAUAUCUGCUGAUCACUAUGAAGAAUCUGAAGGAUCCGAAAACCGAAGUCUUGCCCUCAACUACGAGGGGAGGUAAGGAAUUGCCAUCUAGCUCUGCACUUGAUUCACCUUCAGUUAUGAGUAAGUUUGCGACAUCACCUCCUCCUAGAAAUCUUGAUAUGUCACAUGUGCUUGAUGAUGCUUAUGAUGCUACUGCUAGAGAUGCUAUGCUUGAUACUAUGCCUGAUACUAUGCUUGAUACUGCCAGAGAUGCUAUGCUUGAUACUGCUAGAGAUGCUAUGCUUGAUACUAUGCCUGAUACUAUGCUUGAUACUGCCAGAGAUGCUAUGCUUGAUACUGCUAGAGAUGCUAUGCUUGAUACUGCUUUGCCUGAUGAUGCUAGAGAUGCUAUUUUGCCUGAUGAUGCUAUGCUUGAUACUGCUAGAGAUACUACUUUGCCUGAUGUUCCACUAGGGGUAUUCCUUGAUGCUCAUAUUGCUAGAGUAACUGCCAAUGCUCGUGAUGCUUCUGAAACUGCUGAUACUAUUGAGAUAGAACCUGCUUUUGCUCCUGCUAGAUCUAGCUCUCCUAGAUAUGAAUUGCCUGAUAUACCUGAGGGUUACGUUAUGGAGGGAGAGAUAGCUGAGGAUUUUCUUGCGUGUAAGGAUGCCUAUGACGCUCAGAAAUUACUUCUCAAGUGGAAGGAAAAAUCUCUGAAAGCUAGGAUGAAAUACGACCCGAAGUUUGCCAUUUCACCUAUCUUUAUCACCGAUAAGGAUUAUGAAUUCUUUGUCGAUCCUGAGAUAAUCUCUCUAGUGGAAUAUGAUCCUUUUCACGGUUAUGAGUCUGAGACGGUCGUAGCCCAUCUUGCCAAACUACACGAUAUAGCCACCCUUUUCACUAUUGAGGAGAAGAUCCGCCACUACUAUAUCCUUAAGUUGUUUCCUUUCUCUCUAAAGGAUGACGCUAAAGCCUGGUUCACCUCUCUUACUCCUGGAUGUGUGAGUAGUCCCCAGGGUAUGGUCUAUUACUUCUGUGAGAAAUAUUUCNNNNNNNNNNNNNNNNNNNNNNNNNNNNNNNNNNNNNNNNNNNNNNNNNNNNNNNNNNNNNNNNNNNNNNNNNNNNNNNNNNNNNNNNNNNNNNNNNNNNUGUGUACCAGACCUGACAUAAACCUUGCUAUAAGCUUGGUAGGAAGGUACCAAAGUAAUCCCGGAGCGGAACACUGGACAGCGGUCAAGAAUAUCCUUAAGUACCUGAAAAGGACUAAGGAAAUGUUUCUCGUUUAUGGAGGUGACGAAGAGCUCGUCGUAAAGGGUUACGUCGAUGCUAGCUUCGACACAGAUCCGGAUGACUCUAAGUCACAGACCGGAUACGUAUAUGUGUUGAAUGGUGGGGCGGUGAGCUGGUGGAGCAGCAAGCAAGAAGUCGUGGCAGCAUCUACAUGUGAAGCGGAGUACAUAGCUGCUUCAGAAGCGGCUCAUGAAGGAAUUUUGAUGAAGGAGCUCAUCACCGACCUUGGAGUGGUUCCAAGCGCGUCGGGUCCUAUGACACUCUUCUGUGAUAACACUGGAGCCAUUGCCAUAGCCAAAGAGCCCAGGUUUCACCGGAAGACGAAGCACAUCAAGCGCCGCUACAACUCCAUCCACGACCAUGUCCAGAGUGGAGUGAUAGAUAUUUGUGAAGUGCACACGGAUCUGAAUAUUGCAGACCCGUUGACUAAACCUCUUCCACGAGCAAAACAUGAUCAGCACCAUAAUGCUACGGGUGUUCGAUACAUCACAAUGUAACUAGAUUAUUGACUCUAGUGCAAGUGGGAGACUGUUGGAAAUAUACCCUAGAGGCAAUAAUAAAAUGGUUAUUAUCAUAUUUCCUUGUUCAUGAUAAUCGUCUAUUUUUCAUGCUAUAAUUGUAUUAAUAGGAAACAGUAAUACAUGUGUGAAUAAAUAGAUCAGAAUAUGUCCCUAGCAAGCCUCUAGUUGGCUAGCUCAUUAGUCAAUAGAUGAUCAUGGUUUCCUGAUCAUGGGCAUUAGAUGUCAUUGAUAACGGGAUCACAUCAUUGGGAGAAUGAUGUGACGCCUGAUCAUGGACAUUGGAUGUCAUUGAUAACAGGAUCACAUCAUUGGGAGAAUGAUGUGGUGGACAAGACCCAAUCCUAAGCCUAGCACUAGAUCGUAUUGUUCGUAUGCUAAUGCUUUUCUAAUGUCAAGUAUCUUUUCCUUCGACCGUGAGAUUGUGCAACUCCCGGAUACCGUAGGAGUGCUUUGGGUGUAUCAAACNNNNNNNNNNNNNNNNNNNNNNNNNNNNNNNNNNNNNNNNNNNNNNNNNNNNNNNNNNNNNNNNNNNNNNNNNNNNNNNNNNNNNNNNNNNNNNNNNNNNAAAAGAGUUAGAAAAACAUUGUACUCCAUAUUACACUCGGUAACAAGCUCCAGGAGCACUGAGAUGUAGGGCUAUUACCUCCACCGUAGAGGGGCCUGAACUCAUACAACCUCAUCGUAGCUAGGACUCUGCCCAUCUCAUUCGUACCCUACACAUCUACUGUGAGGCUUAUACCCACGACAGCCACCUUCCCCGUCGCGGGUCAACCAUCUCCGACAUGCAAAGCACGAACAGGCAUCCCCGUUGCGCAACCGUAGACUCCACAUUGACAAUCACGUGAAGCGGGAGACGACGUCCCCCAACGAGUCCGCCGCGUGAAGGACGAGUCAACAUCGCCCCCACCGCACAACUAGUAUGGGCGGAUCGACGGGCCCUCCUCGUCACCACGACGCCACCAUCGCUCGAUAAAGGAGGAGAUGUCGCCCGCGGUCCCUAAGGCGAGUGGCUGCAUCCUUCACUACCUCGAAAGCGACCGUUUCGGCGAUGCCUCCGGCUCUCGGGCUGUUGUAUCCGAGGCCGAGCGUGCGGCGUGACAACAGGUGAGGUAUGACGGUGCAAUGCCGGUCGCCCCUCCGCAUUCGUCAAGAUGGACAUGGCGCCAGAACGGGUUCGCGACAACCCGGACCUCGCGGCGCCUUGAUGAAGAGAUGGCCAAGAUCGAGGAGUGGUCCUUUAGCGACUGCACUGCCAUCGCCGGCAGGGGCAAGGCUGCCAGGGCGCCUUCGGCAUUGGCCAAGGCAACCCUUCGCACAACGCAACAAGAGGCGAAACGGCUCCUUCGCGAGCGUCAGGCAACUGCCGGACAAGUCUGUCGUGGCCCUCCGGCAUCCUUGUACCGUUGGAGGGACGACGAUGAUGGCAUGGACGUCAACAGUGGUGCGGCAGGACAAAGCGACAACGCUUACAAGGUGUUCAUCCGAUAUAAGGUUUAGUAUUUUUUUGGUUUUUAGUAAAAACGGUCGAAAUAUUGUGUGUGUAUGCAGGGGCGGACUUAGAAAGAAAUUGAGCCGGUGUCCUCACAUAAAUAAUACACAUCAUUUGUUUUAAUUUGAAGAUGUCACACACUACACAUACAUAAAGUAUCCCAAAGAAAUAUAUUUUUUACCCGGUGCCCUGUGACCCCUGGCUCUACCUGGGCACACCCCUGUAUGUAUGUAAAUUAUAUCCGAACUUGAAUAAAAUUCAUCAGGUUUGAACGAAUUUUGUCCCUUUAAUUUAAAUUGUUGGUCAAAUGUAUAAGAAUAACAUUGGAUGUCGAUCUGUUAUAUCCAUGUUCGCGGACUGAUUCGUUCUAUGUGUAAACGGAUACGGGAGAAAAUUCGAGGGAUGCCGUUGAAGAUCCCUGGUCGCUUNNNNNNNNNNNNNNNNNNNNNNNNNNNNNNNNNNNNNNNNNNNNNNNNNNNNNNNNNNNNNNNNNNNNNNNNNNNNNNNNNNNNNNNNNNNNNNNNNNNNCACCUGCAGCUCCGGCAGACACUCAUGGGUGAUGUCCACGGCGCAGGUAGCCGCGCGGCACGGCGCGCCGCCGACGGGCUGGAAGCUCAUGGGCACAUUGAACCCGUCUAUGACGGACAGGUCGAAAAAGUCCCGGUUCCCGCCCUGGCCGAGCGUGUACUCGGCCAGCGUGGCUGGCUGCUCGCCGGACACGCGGCAGACCAGAGCGCCCGCGCAGUCGCCGGUGAUGCACCGGCCACGGCCGCUGCGGUCGAAGGUGCACCCCGUGCGCGGCCACACCCUGGCGCCCGCCGUGCCUGCGGGCAUAUUGAGCUGCCACGACUGGCCCGGGUCGAGACGCGCGCCGCCGCCUGGGAGCGCGCCUGGCCAUAUCGUAUAGGAGCACCGGUUCACCACGGUUAUGGUGGUCGCAUCGGUGGCAGCAGCAGCGGCCGCGAUCACGAGAGCGAUGAGGUGGACGACGCCGGAGAACGCCAUGGCUUGUGCCGUUCUUGUUUGUGAAUAUGGUGGUUUGGUGCUCUGGCAGUGGAGGCCAUUAUAUUGCCGCGCGUCCAUGGGCUGCUAUAAUAGCCCGGUUUGGUAGCAUGUCCAAAUCCAAACCAGCUAGCCUAUACAUUUUCCACGGCGGCGUUUGCUGUAUGCAAUUUAUUUAUUUUCGGAGAAAUGCAUCAUGCAAUUAAUAGAGCAGUUGUUGCGGGUCCAAAUCCAGAACAGUAUGAUUAUAUCUAAGUGCAGCUAGAAGGCCAGAAUCAGUGAAUCACUACAACAACAAAAAAUCAUUAUUUCUGACCGGGUCUAAUCUCCUUGUUAGCGAGCCCUUCACCAGACUAUUGGAAAGUUAGCAUCCACUUGAACCUCUUGAAUUUUUGUCUAAAAGGACCAUCUCUCGAAACGAUUUGCUAAAAAAGACCACAUGCGGUACCUAAAGACAAAAAAGACUCCCUCUUCGCGUGGCGGCAGGCACGUCAGGCGACACGUGACACCUGCCGCUACCAGCCGAGGAGGCUGGGACCUGCCGCCACGGCGCCAGGCGGCCGGCCUCCCUUUCCGUUGCAGCUCGCCCGCGAUGUAAUGGACACAAAGGCAGUGGGCCUUGCCGCCACCAGCCGAGGCGGCUGGGACUUGCCGCCACGGUGCCAGGCGGCCGGCCUCCCUUUCCGUUGCAGCUCGCCCCCGAUGUAAUGGACACAAAGGCAGUGGGCCCUGCCGCCACCGUGUGAGGCGGCCGGCCCGCGCAACAAAAGCUGCCCCGAAGCAAAAGGUGCUACACACGUAGCCACACAGCAGGUUAACGCAUAUGCAUGCAAAAGCUGCUCCGGUUUGCAUGGAAUUAAAUCAUGGCACCUGUGCAGCAAAGAACAUGCAUAUGCAUGCAUGCAUACGCGGGACGAGAUUCCCGCCGACCGCCUUACGCGGUGGCGGCAAGGCCACUGCCUCUGUGCCCGUUACGUCGCGGGCGAGCUGCAACGGAAAGGGAGGCCGGCCGCCUGACGCCGUGGCGGCAGGCCCCAGCCGCUUCGGCUGGGGGCUANNNNNNNNNNNNNNNNNNNNNNNNNNNNNNNNNNNNNNNNNNNNNNNNNNNNNNNNNNNNNNNNNNNNNNNNNNNNNNNNNNNNNNNNNNNNNNNNNNNNUUCCGGUCGAGAAUCCUAGUUUCCACAUAUUUCCCUCAUUGUGAUGUUCCUUGCAUAUUCAGAGAGAAAAAGGCAUAAGAAUUGCAUAAAAAUUUGGAAUAUUGGACAAGAACAAAGUAAAAUUUACAAGAAAUCAUCAUGCAAAAUGGACGUAUCACACAUGCAGCAGCUCCAUCACUAGUUAUUUGUCGUCGCUCGCCGUCGGGAGCAAGCCACNNNNNNNNNNNNNNNNNNNNNNNNNNNNNNNNNNNNNNNNNNGCCGUCGGGAGCAAGCCACCGCCGCGGAGGCUCGAAUAUGGGGACACACUUGCGCUCGCCCGGAUGCCCUGCACCACCUUCGCGUGCGAGAAGGAGAGGCUCCUCCGCCACCGUCGUCAGCCGCCCGGGCUUAGCCCGGUGGUUUCCUCCAGCGGCGACGGAGGGAAGGUAUGGGAUGGGGAGUGGCCGACAGCUAAGGUUGGGGCCCCUCGUACAAACAAGGUUGGGGCAAUCUCCACAACUUAAUUGGAGGCUCCCAACAACACCAUGAAGCUUCACCACAAUGGAUUGUGGCUCUGAGAUGACCUCAAAUGCUCGGGGCAAUAUCCACAACCUAAUUGGAGACCCCGACGCUUGCCCGGAGCUUUACACCACAAUGAUUGAGCUCCGAGGCACCACCGAGCUUCUAGGAUGCCAAAGCACCCAAGAAGAACAAGCUCUAGGGUACCAAGCACCCAAGAGUAAUAAGUUUCUCAAACUUCACUUCCACGUAUCACCGUUGAGAACUCAAACCUAUGCACCAAAUGCAAUGGCAAUGGCACACGGAGUGUGCAAGUCCUUCUCUCCCAAAUCCCUCCACAACAACUAAUGCUAUGGAAGAAAAUGAGAGUAAGAAUGAAGAAGAGCACGAAGAACUCCAAGAUCUAGAUCCAAGGGGUUCCCCUCACGUGGAGGAUAAAGUGAUUGGUGGAAAUGUGGAUCUAGAUCUCCUCUCUAUUUUCCCUCAAGAACUAGCAAGAAUCAUUGGAUUGGGAGUAAGCAAGCUCGAAGAAGGUCAACAAUGGGUGCAAAUACGAGCUCAAAAGAUGGGGUUCAACGGGGAAGAAGACCCCGUUUCAUAGGAGAGAAAAAUCCAAGCGUUACCCCCUCAGCCCGCACAUGAGCGGUACGACCGCUCGAGGGAGUGGUACUGCCGCCCAUAAGAGGUAGUACUGCUCAAAUGGGGAGCAGUGCUACCUCUAGGGCACAGGGCAACAGUGAACGAGGGAUGCAGAGGCCGGUAUUACUGUCAGAGUGGUACUACCGUUGCGAGGAGCAGUACUGCCGACCAUAAGAGGUAGUACCACCUCCUAUAUCUGCUCAGGACAUGCUGCCGAUCUAUCCUAGAAAUACCNNNNNNNNNNNNNNNNNNNNNNNNNNNNNNNNNNNNNNNNNNNNNNNNNNNNNNNNNNNNNNNNNNNNNNNNNNNNNNNNNNNNNNNNNNNNNNNNNNNNGGAUAUCAAUGUGAAUGAGUAGGGACUGCCAUACAAAUGAUGCACUAGAGCUAAGAGUAUGUGAAAGCUCUUAAAGAAAACUAGUGGGUGUGCAUCCAACUUGCUUGCUCAUGAAGACCUAAGGCAAUUUUGAGGAAGCCUAUCAUUGGAAUAUACAAGCCAAGUUACAUAAUGAAAAUUUCUCACUAGCUAUUUGGAGGUGACAAAACGAGAGACUCUCAAUCAUGAAGAUCAUGGUGCUUAAUAUGCACAAGUGUGGAAAGGUGGUAGCAUUGUCCCUUCUAGAACAUGGUGCUAUUUUGAAGCACAAGUGUGGAAAAAGAUAGUAGCAUUGUCCCUUCUCUCUUUUUCUCUCAUUUUUUUAUGGGCUCUUUGGCCUCUUUUUUUUGGUGGGCAUAUUUGGCCUCUUUUAUUUCCUCACAUGGGACAAUGCUCCAUCAAUGAUGAUCAUCACACUUUCAACUCAAAACUUAGAGCAACGAUGACUCUAUAUGGAAUGCCUUUGGUAGUGUACCGUGGGAGUGAUAUAGCAUGGCAUAGACAUUAAUGGAAACAUCAUGCUAACUAUCUUACGAUCAUGCAAUAGAAAUGUAAACGUGGUGGCACAUAUCAUGGUGGUAGUUGCAUGGCAAUAUAUCUCGGAAUGACUUUGAAAAGGCCAUAGUAGGUAGGUAUGGUGGCUGUUUUGAGGGAGGCUAAUGGUGGGUUUUGUGCACCGGCGAAAGUUGCACGACACUAAGAAGAUGGUGAUGGUGGAAGGUGAAAGUGCAUCUAAACCAUGGACUCAACAUUAGUCAUGAAGAACUCAUAUACUUGUUGAAAUUUUUUUAUUAGUAAUCUAAACAAAGCAUUCAACGCAUACUCCUAGGGGAAGGGUUGGUAGUAUAAACCAUCGUGCGAUCCCGACCGCCACACAAAGGAUGACAAUCAAUAGACUAAUCAUGCUCAGAUUUCAUCACGUAGCGGUUCACCAUACGUUCAUGCUACGGGAAUCACUAACUUCAACACAAGUAUUUAUAGAUCCACAACACCUUACUAGCAUAACUUCAAUACUACCAUAGCCACAACUCAAAACUAAUUGAGAUGNNNNNNNNNNNNNNNNNNNNNNNNNNNNNNNNNNNNNNNNNNNNNNNNNNNNNNNNNNNNNNNNNNNNNNNNNNNNNNNNNNNNNNNNNNNNNNNNNNNNGAAGAAUUGGCUUACACUCGCCACAUGCUACAUCAGAGUCACAUCAGUACAUUACAUAAUCAUCAAGAGUAAGAGCAGGGUCCGGCUACGGACGAAAACAAACGACAAAAGAAGAACGACGUCCAUCCUUGCUAUCCCAGGCUGCCGGCCUGGAACCCAUCCUAGAUCGAUGAAUAAUAAGAAGAAGAAGCAACUCCAAAUGAACAAUCAACGCGCUCGCGUCAAGAAACCUGUACCUGUACCUGCNNNNNNNNNNNNNNNNNNNNNNNNNNNNNNNNNNNNNNNNNNNNNNNNNNNNNNNNNNNNNNNNNNNNNNNNNNNNNNNNNNNNNNNNNNNNNNNNNNNNNNNNNNNNNNNNNNNNNNNNNNNNNNNNNNNNNNNNNNNNNNNNNNNNNNNNNNNNNNNNNNNNNNNNNNNNNNNNNNNNNNNNNNNNNNNNNNNNNNNNNNNNNNNNNNNNNNNNNNNNNNNNNNNNNNNNNNNNNNNNNNNNNNNNNNNNNNNNNNNNNNNNNNNNNNNNNNNNNNNNNNNNNNNNNNNNNNNNNNNNNNNNNNNNNNNNNNNNNNNNNNNNNNNNNNNNNNNNNNNNNNNNNNNNNNNNNNNNNNNNNNNNNNNNNNNNNNNNNNNNNNNNNNNNNNNNNNNNNNNNNNNNNNNNNNNNNNNNNNNNNNNNNNNNNNNNNNNNNNNNNNNNNNNNNNNNNNNNNNNNNNNNNNNNNNNNNNNNNNNNNNNNNNNNNNNNNNNNNNNNNNNNNNNNNNNNNNNNNNNNNNNNNNNNNNNNNNNNNNNNNNNNNNNNNNNNNNNNNNNNNNNNNNNNNCCGAUGCACAAGAUAUCUCGUCAAAGGUAAAACUAAUCCAGCAAGGCCGCCCGGCGUGUCAACGAUCCCGAUAGGAGCCGUGUAUCUCGUUCUCAGGACACGACGGAUAAGUGACGCGUACGAGUGCCAAACCUCGAGUUUCCUCACGGUGGACCCGCACAGUGCUCUAUUUUGGACCAGCACCAUCAACACUGGCCCUACCUGUAUUAUGUAGAAUUACUCCUCGGGUAGCGCUAACUCCCUAUGCAUUUCAAUUUAACAGAAUUAUUAUGUUGGGCAAAUGUAGUACCAAUGUUGGGCCUUGCCAGACCAGCUUUAAUCUAAAACGAAUUAUCAAGGGGGUCCCCAUAACAACCCCGAUCGUGUUAGGAGCGCUCAAUUAUGGAACAUAACACCGGUAGCCGAAACUAAGGGGGCAAAGGUGGAACAAAACACCAGGCUAGAAAGGCCGAGCCUUCCACCUUUUACCAAGUAUAUAGGUGCAUUAAAUUAAAUAGCAUUUAAUAUGGUGAUAUAACAAGGAACCUAUGUUAUCACAUGGAAGCAACUGCACCUGCAACUAGCAACGCUGACACAAGGUUAAGCAAGUAGUAACUUAGCCAAUCAGUGGUUUGCUAGGUUGAACAGGUUGAAGGUUUUCAUGGCAUUGUUGAGAGGCUGAUAUUUAACAUGUGUGUGACAGCCCGAGACCGACGUUCCAGAAGAUUCCCCUUUCUUUCCGUUUUCGUCGUGUGCCUAUUUUAUUUUUUCGCGUCAUCAUCGCAUCAUGCGCAUCAUCUGCAUUGCAUCGACAUCUCCGUUGCCGCCAGUUUUCAAACUUCCAUCCGUUGUUAGUUCCCGGUUCACGUCGUUGUUCGUUCCGAGCCUGACUGCACACGCACGCGCCCGCGGCAUCGUUGUAACUUUGUUUUUAAAGCUUGUAUAAAACUUUCUCCGGUUGAGCUGGAAUUUGUCGUGCGGCAUUAUUUAUAUAUAGGUAGGCCGCCUGUCAAAUUUGGUCGCGAUCGGAGUCCGUCUGGUACCCAAACGGUCGACCAUAGCGGCACCGUAUUCGGUCUAUCGUCGGGCGUCUUUCGGUGUUUGAAACCCCAAUGCCGGGCUGCCCGUUUUCCCUCUCUUCUCUGGCUAGCCUCUCUACACAGUGCACCGACCUGCGCGCAAUCCAGUCUGAAAACCUCCAGGAACCCGAGCCCGGCGGUCGUGACCGUUGGAUCCGGAUCAACACCGUUUUACCGCAAAACAUCUUUGGUCUGUCUAUUGGACUCCCUAACCUAAUUAUCUGGACCAUCCGAUCUAAAUCGGAGGGUCUAGAUGAACCUGUCCCUAACCUAUUUUGGACAAACCCUAACUUCUAGGAGGUUUGUCCCGUCCAUCCCAUCUCCCCGCCGCCACUUCUCUUCCUUCCUCGGAUCUGUAGUCAGCCCCGCUCCCACCUUCUCCUGCGCGAACGCGCCCCUGUCAUAACGAGCCACAGCAGCAGGGACCUAGGAGCCUCGCGCCCGCCGCCAGGUGCCCGCACCUCGAUCUCCUGAGCGUGUUGCCCGACGCGACCGCUGCCUCGACCUCCCAGCGCCGCAAGGCCCAUAUCCUUCUUCUCUUCCCUGUCUCACUUGUUCUCUCUCUCUCACAUUUCUUUCUCUCUGUUGGAUGUGCGCAGGAGCUGCCCUGCCAUGGCCGUGCCCAACGCGAGAUUUAGUCGCCGCCGAAGCUCCUGGGAGGCGUGUGAUGACGGGAAUCGGUCCCUGCAGACCGGACCCAGCCCGAUCCGGUGAUCCCUGGCCCGAUCCGACGAUCUCCGUCGGCGUGCCCCCGUCUUCCUCCUGCUGUGCGUUGACCUGUAGGAGCUCCCCAUCUCGCGCGCCUGCUGGCGUUGGAUGUGUCCAACACACGCAGAGGAGCCGCACGAGCAGCUUCUGCGCCUCACCCGUGCCCGAUCCAUGGAGAGCAGCUCCCAUGCGUCUCCGCGUCGACCUUGCCGCCAAGCCUAGUGCGCCCCUGCUUCCUUCCCCUCGUUGUGCUCUCCCUCUCUCCCUGUCCCUCACCUCUCUUCCUCUUCUCUUUUCUUCUUCAGGUACAACAAUGUCACCAUCGGCCAGGAUCUCCGAGUACAUGCCGCCCCAAGCCACCUCGUUGCCGGGAAUGGAACCCCCGGUACCGAAGCUUUUGAACCCCACCAUUUUUCGUGCCGCCGGACCUCAUCCCCAGGCCGAUUCCGCCAUGGCAUCCCCUGCAUCCCGACCUGCAACAAAGGUGUCCAUGUUCAGUUUCGUUAGGUUCGCGACAUGGUAUGGUCUUGUAGCAAACCACCCAUAUUUCAGCAUAGUUCCUUCACAGUCCAACUGGUUAGAGUGGCAAUCUGCUUCCCAGAGAUCUGUGGUUCGAAUCCCAGUUUUGGCAAUUUAUUUUUGCCCUAUUUUCGUUGAUGUGCCUGUAGAGGGGCUACUUCUUCUGGCGAGUAUCCUGUGAAAUAUCAAAACGGGGUGCUAGCCGAGUUGGUUAGCGCAGUAGUGCUACCUCCUCCUGGAGGUCCAUGGAUCAAAUCACCAUGACUGCAUUCUUUUAGCUUCUGCAUUUAUUUUCGUUUUCAUAGUUUUAAGUAGUGCAUUUGUUUUAUGUCCAGCCAUGCCCCUUUGAAAUCACUAGCAUCUGCAUGUCAUCUUGGUUCCCCUGUCAAUCCACAUGCAGGAGGUCCUGGGGUCAAAUCCCAUAGAGGCCGAAUUAUUAUGUUUCUGUUUUUUUUUCUUUUGCUUUUCUUCUUGUAGUUUUUUUUGCUAGUUGCAGAUACCCUAUAAUCUGCCUCCGGCACAUGGGGAACCCGGUAAUCGGGAUCACCCCAUCAUUUUGUUCGAAAUGAUAUGCACACACCUCCAAUUCGUUGCACUGGUAUCUCGUCGAGCUAUCAGUACCGGAACGUGUUGUGACUGUCAUUGCAUGUGUGAUGCAUCCUUGGCAUGCAAUCUUGUGUUGCUCGUAUCUUUUAGUUCGUAACUCUGUUGGAAUUGGUCCAUAUAUGUAAAUGGACUAGUAUGACGUGUAGUUUCACGUGCUCCACUUUGUUUCGCUGUUUAACAAACUUAAAAUGUGAUUAGGACAAAUCUGGACAGAAUUAGAAUUUAACGCGUGGGGUCAUUUCGGAGAUGCUAUAUGUCGUUUCCGGCCUCAUUUAAAAUGCCUAGAUAGGUAGUUUAAUUUGUGCUUCACCCCGUGCCAUGCUAACAACAUUUUAAUAUUGUCGUGUAAAUAAACGGGAGUGAACUAAUAAUUAAAUGUGGAGUUUCGUCGAUAUGCAACUCGUUGCAUAUCGAGCUUCACUUAAUGUGUAGUGUUUGAUUGUUGUGAUUGUCAUGGCUUGCAUUAGACCGUUCAUGCAUCAUAUGUGUCUUGCAUCGUGUGGUGAUUCUCGUGUGUUGAUGCUUGUUUCCGGUUUCCUCCGUCUCGAUAGAGUUCCGCAAGCGUGUCGGAUGUGAGGACCGUUCGACUACGUCGGUUCGUCUGCUUCACGGAGGCAUUCUUCUUCCAAGCGGGAUCUCAGGCAAGAUGACCAUUUCCCCAGAUACCAAUACUAUCAUUGCCAUGCUAGUUUUACCGCUUCUACCGUUUAUGUCUCGUUGCCUACCACAUGUUAAAUAUCGGCCUCUCAACAAUGCCAUGAAAACCUUCAACAUGUUCAACCUAGCAAACCAUUGAUUGGCUAUGUUAUCGCUUGCUUAACCCUGUAUUAGUGUUGCUAGUUGCAGGUGCAGAUGCUUCCAUGCGAUAACAUGGGUUCCUUGUUAUAUCACCAUAUUUAAAUGCUAUUUAAUUUAAUGCACCUAUACACUUGGUAAAAGGUGGAAGGCUCGGCCUUUCUAGCCUGGUGUUUUGUUCCACCUUUGCCCCCUUAGUUUCGGCUACCGGUGUUAUGUUCCAUAAUUGAGCGCUCCUAACACGAUCGGGGUUGUUAUGGGGACCCCCUUGAUAAUUCGUUUUAGAUUAAGACUGGUCUGGCAAGGCCCAACUUUGGUACUACAUUUGCCUAAACACCUAACAAAAUUGCAUAGGGACUUUUCGGACCCCGAGGAUAAUUUAAUCAACCCCCGGGCCAGUGCUCCUCAUGAGUGUUGGUCCAAAUUGGCAGACUACGGGGCCACCGCGGGGCAACCCGAGGUUUGGUUCUCCUAGUGUGACCCAUCUUCCGUGUCCUGAGAACGAGGUACGCGACUCCUAUCGGGAUCGUCGACACGUCGGGCGGCCUUGCUGGAUUAGUUUUACCUUUGACGAGAUAUCUUGUGCUUCGGGAUUCCGAUGAUGCUUUGGGUAAUCUCAGAGUUGAGGUUUUCCACUAGGGAAUCCGACGAGAUCGCGAGCUUCGUGAUUGAGGAUUUCUAUGCGGCUUGUGGUAAUUUGUGAUGGACUAGUUGGAGCACCCCUGCAGGGUUAAAUCUUUCGGAAAGCCGUGCCCGCGGUUAUGUGGCAACGUGGAAACUUUGUUUACCACUGGUUCUAGAUAACUUGAAGUUAAUUUAAUUAAAAUAUGCCAACUGUGUGCGUAACCGUGACUGUCUCUUUCGUGAGUUCUUCUCCGAUCGAGGACACGGUGGGGUUAUGUCUGACGUAGGUAGGUGUUCAGGAUCAUCCAUUUGAUCAUCAGUAGUUCACGUCCGUUAUGCGUAGAUUUUCCCCCUCUUAUCACUUGUACUCGUAAGUUAGCCACCAUAUAUAUGCUUAGCCGCUGCUGCAACCUCACCACUUAACCAUGCCUCACCCAUUAAGCUUUGCUAGUCUUGAUACCUUUGGAAAAGAGAUUGCUGAGUCCCCUGUGGCUCACAGAUUACUACAACACCAGUUGCAGGUACAGAUAAAGGUUACCUGACGCGAGCGCGUUGAUUGUUCAUUUGGAGUUGCUUCUUCUUCUUCUUCAUUGAUCUAGGAUGGGUUCCAGGCCGGCAGCCUGGGAUAGCAAGGAUGGACGUCGUUCUUCUUUUGUCGUUUGUUUUCGUCCGUAGCCGGACCCUGCUCUUACUCUUGAUGAUUAUGUUUUGUCGUUUAUUUUCAUCCGUAGUCGGACCCUGCUCUUACUCUUGAUGAUUAUGUAAUGUACUGAUGUGACUCUGAUGUAGCAUGUGGCGAGUGUAAGCCAAUUCUUCAUAUGUAUCUCUUCUUUUCAGUACAUGUACUUGUAACGAUAUCCGUUCUUGCGACACGACGAGAUGCGCUUCUAUCCCUGACGAGGCCCUCGUGCCAAAUUGAGGAUAGGGUCGCAUCUUGGGCGUGACAAUGUGGUAGGCAACGAGACAUAAUCGAUAGAAGCGAUGAAACUAGCAUGGCAAUGAUAGUAAUGGUAUCUGGGGAAAUGAUCAUCUUGCCUGAGAUCCCGCUUGGAAGAAGGAUGCCUCCGUGAAGCAGACGAACCGACGUAGUCGAACGGGUCCUCACAAUCCGGCACGUUGCGGAACUCUAUCGAGACGAAGCAAACCGGAAACACAAAUCAAUACACGGAAUUCACCACACGAUGCACGACACAUAUGAUGCAUGAGCAGCUGAACACAUGCAAGUCACGGCAUGUCAAACCACACAAUCAAACACUACACGUUAAGUGAAGUUCAAUAUUCAAUGGGUUGCAUAUUGACGAAACUCCACGUUAAUUAUUUAGUUCACACCCGGUUAUUUACACGGCAAUAUUAAUGUUGUCAAGCAUGCACGAGGUGAAGCGGAAAUUAUACUACCUAUCUAGACAUUUUAAAUGAGGUCGGAAAUGACAUAUAGCAUCUCCGAAACGACCUCACAUGUUAAUUUACAAUUCGGUCCAGAUCUGAACUAACACAUUUAAUUAGUUGUUAAACAGCAAAACAAAUAGUUUCACGUGAUUCUACACGUCAAGACAAGCAAUUUACACAUAGAGGUCAUCUCCAAUGGAGCUACGGGUCAAAAGUUACAAGCACCGCAAGAUAUGAUGGCAUGAAUGCAAUAUGUGUGCAACGGCGGUCACGAGCACUUCAGAACAUACAACCAACAAGAGGAAAUGAAACUACACGAGAUUCUAAGCAAGUUUCAUGUAGGAUACGAUCAAAUCGGAGCUACGGUUCAACAACUACGAGCAAAACAAGAAAUCACUACAAUCUGCCAAAAUCAGCCACAUAGCAUUUUCUACGCCCCACAACUACGGCUACACAACUCCGAUAUGCUCAAGCAAGGCAUGGCACGGAAGAGGGCAAGAAGCACUACUACAAACAACUAACAACAACUAGCAUGGCAUCAUGGAUCACUAGGGAAGGAAGACACAAAAUGGCAUCCCACUCACUAUUUCAGACUUGGUGAAAAUUACUCCUCAUGAAAAUGCAGUUUUCGAUCUGAAGCUAUAUUGACAGCAGCAAAACCUAUAGCUACAGGACUCCAAAUGGCAUGAAAAUUCACAGCAUGCUAGACAAACACAAGGGGUACAACUAACUCCAUUGGACAAACCUCAAAAGAGCUACAGACCACAAGAUACAAGCAAGACAAGACAACAACAAAAUAUAACAGAAUCCAGACUUGGGAAUAUUUCAGCACGUCCAAAUCAGCACUAUUUCUAGCAACUUGAGAGAAAGCAAACCACACCUAAACAUGCAUUUCUAUUGCAACUAAAAAUACCAGGGGUAAGAGUAAACACCCAAGGACAACUCCCUACUUGACAACUCCGUCAAACGAAGCACGGAAUAAAUCCUACGAAUUAAACAAAAGGGCAACACGGCAAAAUAUCGCGCGAACUAACUUGCUCAAAAGUUAAAACUAAUUCCCAUGGAUUUUUCUACCCCGAAAACAUAUAAAAUAUGUGGGGUUGCGCAACAAAAUUAUUGCCACACGUAAAUGCGAGAUAAUCACCUAUAUACGGGAAAAUAAACUACCGGCAAACCCUACACACAAAAAUACCAAUGACCGCUCUAGGAAUCAUGGAAAAAUGGUCCCUAAAACAUGAACAUUAAAUCUACGGUAUACGGGCAGUCCGAACACGCACGAGAAAUAACUACGGAACGGAUCCUAUUGAAACAGCACGCAAAAUGAUGCAUUAGGCACUUCAAACUGCCUCAAAUAAUUAUGCAAGUUAGAAAUUCGAAAUCUACGCGGAAAUCUAGCCAAGAUACAUAUGCUACACGUCGCGAACCGAUUUACGGUUUAAAAGUUACUGGGGUUUACUAACGUCUAUUUUCUGGAAUUUAAAUAAACCUGAAAAUUCCUAAUUCACUAACGGGCCUAACAGACAGGGCGCGACCACUAUCUGACGCCUAGUGCGCGAAAUAUGCAGGCAAGGGGGGAUUCACCUGAGUGGGCCUCGGGCCCAUGACGGCGGGGAGGCAGGCCUGGGGCGGACGUGCGACUGGGCCGAGGGGAGCUCUGCGGGAGGAGGCCGGCUGCGGGGCUAGUGGGCCGAGGGUCCAGGGGCGCAGUCAACGGCCCGGAGGAGGGUUGAUCGUCUCCUCCCGUGCUCCCCAGGAGCACGAGGGCACGGGAAUGGCGGCGGCGCCCCCACUGCCGGUGGCGUGCGGCGUAGGGCCACGGAGGAGAGGCAGAUCCGGUAGACCAGGGGCGGAUCCGACCUCGGGGACCCGUUCCCAACGACGGAAUGGCCGGCGACGAGCCCGACGACGACGCGGAAGGUGCGGGGCGGCGGCGGCUGCUGGUGGCCUUGGGGAAGCCAGGGAGGCAAACCAUGCGCGGGCGGCGGCCGGCUAGACCUGGCGGUGGUUGCCGACGAUGGCGAAGCUGCUGCAGCUGCUCGGGGUGAGGGCUGCGCUCGAACGGCGGCGGCAGGAGGUGGGAGGCACAGGGCAGCGGGGUCGCGCGGAGGCACAGCGCGCAGAUGGGCUGCUCAGGGCCCAGAUGGGCUCGGGCAGGCCCCGAUCUGGGCUGGGAGGGCCGCGCGAGGAAGGAGACAGGGAAGGAGGCGGCGGGGAGCUGGUUGGCUGGGCGCGGAUCCCAAGGAGGCUAGGGUUAGGCCAGAUUAGAAAGGGCUAGCCUUCCUUUUACAACAAGAGGGGCUAGGUUUAGGGAUAGAGACCGUUUUCGGGCCGUUCGAUCGAGAUCGGACGGUCCCCGAAGUGUCCUAGGUUUAGGUUUGGCUUGAUGGGUCGUGCAGCAUGGCUUAGGCAGAGAUGAGAGGGAAGUAGUGCGGCGCGACAACGAAUUUUCAAACACCGACAGACGUCCAACGGUAGACCGAAUACGGUGCCGCUACGGUCGACCGUUUCGGUACCAGACGAUCUCCGAUCGCGACGAAAUUCGACAGGCGGACUAGCUAUAUUAAAAUAAGACCGCACGUCAAAUCUCAACCCGAUGAGAAAAAGUUUUACGCACACUUUUAAAACAGGUUUUCGACGAUGCCGCGGGCGCGCGCGAGUGCGGUCGGGCUCAGAACGGACAACGACGAGAACCGGCAACUAACAACGGAUGCAAGUUUGAAAACUGGCGGCAACGGAGAUGCCGAUGCAAUGCAGAUGAUGCGCAUGAUGCGAUGAUGACGCGACAAAAGAAAAUAGACACACGACGAAAACGGAAUAAAGGGGGAAUCUUCUGGAACGUCGGCAUCGGGCUGUCACAAGCCCCUCCCUUCCCCUAUAUAUACCGGGCACUUUUGGCCAUUGGGAGAUAGACUUUUCCCUCUCUCUCGGCGCAGCCCUUCCCUUCUUCCCCUCCUCUCUGCCGGUGCUUGGCGAAGCCCUGCCAGGAGACCUCAUCUCUCCAUCGACACCACGCCGUCGUGUUGCUGGAGUUCGUCCCCAACCUCUCCCUCCUCCUUGCUGGAUCAAGGUGCGGGAGACGUCACUUUUGGUACUCACACUAUGAAUAUGUGUAACAUCACGAUCGAGAUUCAUCAAGAAUAAACCAUUUACCAGCGGAGCAUGACCAUAAAACAUAUCACUCAUAUAAAUAGAACAACCAUUAUUCUCUGACUUUUGCACGUGUGUUGAACGCGGAGGUGCCGUAGUUCGGCACUAGAUCGGAAUCACUGCGAGUACGACUCCAUCAACCGCGUUCUAGCAACGCUUCCGCUUAGCGAUCUUCAAAGGUACGAAGAUGCUCUUAUCCCUCUCUCGUUGCUGGUCUCUCCAUAGGAAGAUCUGAAUAUGCGUAGGAAAAUUUUGAAUUUAUUCUACGUAACCCAUCAUUCCCGACGUGCAUCGUCACCUCGUCCUUGGCCAGUCUCCGCUUAUUCCGCAGUUCCUGCUUUGAGUUGCAAAUGUGAGCAACAACACCGGUAUCAAAUACCCAGGAGCUACUACGAGCGCUGGUAAGGUACAUAUCAAUAACAUGUAUAUCACAUAUACCUUUAACGUUGCCGGCCUUCUUGUCCGCUAAGUAUUUGGGGCAGUUCCGCUUCCAGUGACCUUUUCCCUUGCAAUAGAAGCACUCAGUCUCAGGCUUGGGUCCAUUCUUUUUCUUCUUCCCGGCAUCUGGCUUACCGGGCGCGGCAACAACUUUGCCGUCUUUCUUGAAGUUCUUCUUACCCUUGCCUUUCUUGAAACUAGUGGUUUUGUUGACCAUCAACACUUGACGCUCUUUCUUGAUUUCUACUUCUUCAGACUUGAGCAUCGAGUACAACUCGGGAAUGGUCUUCUCCAUCCCUUGCAUGUUGUAGUUAAGCACAAAGCCUUUGUAGCUUGGUGGGAGAGACUGGAAGAUUAUGUCGAUUAUAGCAUCAUCCGGAAGUUCGACUCCAAGUGAAGUCAGACGAUCGUGUAACCCAGACAUUUUGAGUAUGUGCUGACUGACAUAACUGUUCUCCUCCAUCUUACAGCUAAAGAACUUGUCGGAGACUUCAUAUCUCUCGACACGGGCAUGAGCUUGAAAAACUAGCUUCAGCUCCUGGAACAUUUCAUAUGCUCCGUGUUGCUCAAAACGCCUUUGGAGCCCCGUUUCUAAACUGUAUAACAUGCCACACCUAACCAGAGAGUGGUCACACUCCGUGUUUGCCAGACGUUCAGGGUGUCCUGGGCUGCUGCGGGAGCGGGAGGGUCACCUAGCGGCGCAUCAAGGACAUAAGCCUUUUUAGCUGCUUCAAGGAUGAGCUUCAAGUUGCGAACCCAGUCCGCAUAGUUGCUACCAUCAUCUUUCAGCUUGUUUUUCUCUAGGAAUGCGUUGAAAUUGAGGUUGACGUUGGCCAUCUACAAUAUUUAUAAAGACAACUUUUAGACUAAGUUCAUGACAAUUACGUUCAUUUAAUCAAAUUAAGUAUGAACUCCCACUUAAAUCGACAUCCCUCUAGUCAUCUAAGUGAUACAUGAUCCAUGUUGACUAACCCGUUUCCGAUCAUCACGUGAGACGGACUAGUCACCAUGGUGAGCAACUUCAUGCUGAUCGUAUUCAAUCAUACGACUCAUAUUCGACCUUUCGGUCUCUUGUAUUCGAGGUCAUGUAUGUACAUGCUAAGCUCUUCGAGUCAACCUAGGUGUUUCGCGUGUGUAAAUCUGGCUUACACCCGUUGUAUGCGAAUGUUAGAAUCUAUCACACCCGAUCAUCACGUGGUGCUUCGAGACAACGAUCCUUCGCAACAGUGCACACUUAGGGAAAUACGUUCUCGAAAUUUUAAGAGGGGUCAUCUUAUUAUGCUACCGUCGUUCUAAGCAAUAAGAUGUAAAACAUGAUAAAAAUCACAAUGCAAUCAUAUAGUGACAUGAUAUGGCCAUUAUCAUCUUUGCUCUUUCGAUCUCCAUCUUCAGGCAUCGCAUGAUCAUCAUCGUCACCGGCGUGACACCAUGAUCUCCAUCAUCAUGAUCUCCAUCAUCGUGUCUCCGUGAAGUCGUCACGCCAACUACUACUAUCACUACUACUAUAGCUAACCGUUAGCAAUGAAGUAAAAGUAGUAAGCACAUGGUGUUGCAUCUCAUACAAUAAAUUAAGACAACUCCUAUGGCUCCUGCCGGUUGUCAUACUCAUCGACAUGUAAGUCGUGAAACCUAUUACAAUAACAUGAUCAUCUCAUACAUCAUACAUGCAACAUCACAACUUUGGCCAUAUCACAUCACAUGUCAAACCGUGCAAAAACAAGUUAGACAUCCUCUAAUUGUUGUUGCAAGUUUUACGUGGUUGAUUUGGGUUUCUAGCAAAAACGCCUUCUUACCUACGUGACAGCCACAACGAUGAUAUGCCAAAGCUAUUUACCCUUCAUAAGGACCCUUUUCAUCAUAUCCAAUCCGACUAGAGUAGGAGAGACAGACACCCGCUAGCCACCUUUAUGCACGGUGUGCAUGUCUGUCGGUGGAACAAGUCUCACGUAAGCGUACGUGUACAGUCGGUCCAGGCCGCUCCAUCCCACAAUACCGCCGGAAAAGAAUAAGACUAGUAGCGGCAAGCAAAUUGACAAAUCAUCGCCCACAACUUUUGUGUUCUACUCGUGCAUAGAAUCUACGCAUAAAAAACAUGGCUCUGAUACCACUGUUGGGUAACGUAGCAUAAAUUCAAAAUUUUCCUACGCAUAUUCAGAUCUUCCUAUGGAGAGACCAACAACGAGAGAGGGGUAAGAGCAUAUUCAUACCUUUGAAGAUCGCUAAGCGGAAGCGUUGCUAGAACACGGUUGACGGAGUCGUACUCGCAGCGAUUCAGAUCGCGGUGUGAUUCCGAUCUAGUGCCGAACUAUGGCACCUGUGCGUUCAACACACGUGCAGCCCGGUGAGGUCUCCCACACCUUGAUCCAGCAAGGAGGAGGGAUAGGUUGGGGAAGAACUCCAGCAGCACGACGGCGUGGUGUCGAUGGAGAGAUGAGGUCUCCCGGCAGGGCUUCGCCAAGCACCGGCAGAGAGGAGGAGAAAGAAGGGCAGGGCUGCGUCGAGGGAGAGGGAGAAGUCUAUCUCCCAAGGGCCAAAACCCCUCUCUAUUUAUAGGAGGAGGGGGAGGGCUGCGCCACCCCUAGGGUUCCCUCCCUAGGGGCCGGCGGCCACUAGAUGGGAGAGCGGGGGGGGGGGGNNNNNNNNNNNNNNNNNNNNNNNNNNNNNNNNNNNNNNNNNNNNNNNNNNNNNNNNNNNNNNNNNNNNNNNNNNNNNNNNNNNNNNNNNNNNNNNNNNNNGGGCUCCGCCCGAGCUCCGCAGAAACGCGAUCUAGAGGUAAAACCAUGGAGAUAUGUGGUCGGGCUGCCGUGGCAAAGUUAUGUCAAAUCAGCCCUAAAACCUCCGUAUAUAUAGGGGGAAGAGGGGGAGCCUUGCCUUGGGGUCCAAGGACCCCCAAGGACUUCGGCCGAGCCAAGGGGGGAAACCCUCCCCUUCCAAACCGAGUCCAACUAGGUUUGGAAGGAGGAGUCCUUCCCCCUUUUCCUACCUCCUCUUUUUUUUCUCUUUGAUUUUCUUCCUAUGGCGCAUAGGGCCUUCUUGGGAUGUCCCACCAGCCCACUAAGGGCUGGUGCGCCACCCCCAAGGCCUAUGGGCUUCCCCGGGGUGGGUUGCCCCCCCCCCCCCCCCGGAGACUCCCCGCCCCAUGAGACCCCUUGGGGCGUGACACCCCUCCCGAUGGUCCCCGGCACCCCUCCCGGCACUCCCGGUACACUACCGAUGAGCCCGAAACUUUUCCGGUAAUGCACGAAAACCUUCCGGUAAUCAAAUGAGGUCAUCCUAUAUAUCAAUAUUUGUUUCCGUACCAUUCCAGAAACCCUCGUGACGUCCGUGAUCUCAUCCGGGACUCCGAACAACAUUCGGUAACCAACCAUAUAACUCAAAUACGCAUAAAACAACGUCGAACCUUAAGUGUGCAGACCCUGCGGGUUCGAGAACUAUGUAGACAUGACCCGAGAGACUCCUCGGUCAAUAUCCAAUAGCGGGACCUGGAUGCCUAUAUUGGAACCUAAAUAUUCUACGAAGAUCUUAUCGUUUGAACCUCGGUGCCAAGGAUUCAUAUAAUCCCGUAUGUCAUUCCCUUUGUCCUUCGNNNNNNNNNNNNNNNNNNNNNNNNNNNNNNNNNNNNNNNNNNNNNNNNNNNNNNNNNNNNNNNNNNNNNNNNNNNNNNNNNNNNNNNNNNNNNNNNNNNNUGAUGAAUAGGGUAAAUUUAAUAAAUAGUUUGGAGUUGGAAAUUGAUACUUAUUUGAUUUCCACUUCAAUUGUUAUGACCAAACAUUGGUCAAUGCAAAUCAGUACCUCGAAAUACUAACUCCAUACAUGUUGGACUAAUUUGUUAUGAGCAUCAGGUUGAAUCAAUUAUAAGGGUACUUGGAAAGAUACCCGGCUUGAAGUGAUGUUUGGAUCCUAAUUCAAACCAACUUCAACUUAAGAAAUGAUAGCCACAUUAGCCCUGCCACCUUUCAUUUCAUGUCUUGAGCAUGCAUCAUAGUGUUGCAUUUCCGUGAAGUAAUUGUUGUUCUUUCUUGUUUGUCGGUGUUGUUCCCCCUCGCUAAACGAUGUUUCCGACGAUGUGAUCGUUGACAUUGAUGAAGACUCAUUGCUAUCUUCAAACGUGUCAGGCAAGCAAACCCCCCUUGAGCAUAUUGAAAUAAACCCACUCUCUCGCUCCUGCUCUCUUUUACUGCAUUAGGACAAACACGAUUCAACUGUACAUGUUAUCGGUAGUUGAACUCAUUCCUCUGCAUGACCUGAUUUUGUCACAGUAAAUAGUUGAAACCACUUAGCAUGAGUAGCAACUGCUUGAGCCUUGUUGUGCUUACUCGUCCAUGCUUUGUUUACAAUGCCUGCUAUGCUUAGAGUCGUGUCGGGUCUGAUCCGUCUGAAUGAUGAAUCGGAAUGGUUGUGUCCAUAUCCUACAGUGUGAGAGUAAAAGUGUGAAUCUGAUUCGGUAAAGGUAGCGAUGAGAGGCCAUGUAGGAGUACAUGGUGGGUUGUCUCAUUGGGACCGUCCUUAAGAACUGAGUUAUGUGUAUGUUAUCCAAGACAAGAUACUACCAUGCAUUGGGCCCUGAAAUAUGACCCCGCUCGGCUUAUUAAUUGCCUAGAUCCCUGUCCAGGAGUUGCAAUUAGUUUCUGGUGUUUGUAGGAAAAGUGUUGGCGGCCGUGUUUAGCUCUUCCCGACGGGGUAGGCUUCUCGGCGGUAGAUACACAGUGGCACGGUGUACCAAGUGGCACCCAGAUGGUGGGCUUGGGAACCCUGCGCGCAUCGUUUGGGGCCGUAGAGGAAACCUCGGCCGGACUUCCUUGCGGGUUCAGUCUCAAAUAGGCGAUAAACCUGGACUAGGGUCUUGUGUGGUUAACGGUCGUGGCCGACACCCACGCCAGUGCUUCCGCUUGAAGGUUGCCGAGAUGCAUGACGUGCAUAUGGUGCUAAGUGGUGGGAGCAUGUGUGAAGAAGUAUACCCCUGCAGGGUGAUUCAAUCUGUUCGAAUAGCCGCGUCCUCGGUUAUGGACUACUUGGAAACGUUACGUGGUACAUAGACAAUUUAAAUGGAUACUCUAAAACAUGCAAGAUAAGUGUGAGUGCUANNNNNNNNNNNNNNNNNNNNNNNNNNNNNNNNNNNNNNNNNNNNNNNNNNNNNNNNNNNNNNNNNNNNNNNNNNNNNNNNNNGACGAGAGUGGAUCCAUAGUGGUGUAUUGAAUUGGUGAAUAUGUGGACUCGUGUGCGCUAUCCCAGCUCAAAGAAAGAACUUGUAGUCGUAGUACAGGUUAGCCAAGAGUCAAAGCUGGCUUGCUUCAAUCAAACCCCACAAUCCUGUCAUUGAAACAUGAUGCAUAUGUAGAUAGUUCUGAUGUAAGACUUGCUGAGUACCUUUGUACUCACGGUUGCUUUAUUUAUGUUUUUGCAGAGAAGACUUAGACUCAUUAAAGGUUCUACGCGAUGUGUNNNNNNNNNNNNNNNNNNNNNNNNNNNNNNNNNNNNNNNNNNNNNNNNNNNNNNNNNNNNNNNNNNNNNNNNNNNNNNNNNNNNNNNNNNNNNNNNNNNNNNNNNNNNNNNNNNNNNNNNNNNNNNNNNNNNNNNNNNNNNNNNNNNNNNNCCACUUUUAGUAGAUGUCUGUACCCAGACAUGAUUUGCUUCCGCUUGUUGUUUGUAUGACUUGAGUGUCGGGUCACGAGACCCCUGUUUGUAAUAUCAUACUAUGUUGACUCUUAUGAGUCUUUAAUAAAUGCUUGAGUCAUAGAGUUAUGUUGUGAUGCCAUGUUGUAUCUACACAUAUCGUGCAUAAUGUGUGUAUGUUUGAAAUGCAUUAUAUGUGUGGGAUUCGACACCUAGUUGUUUGCCUUUAGCAGUACUCUUUACAGGGAAAUGCCUCUUUGUGAUUCCAUCGAGCCUUGGUAGUUUGGUACUGCUCGGAACACAUUGAUUGAUCGGCANNNNNNNNNNNNNNNNNNNNNNNNNNNNNNNNNNNNNNNNNNNNNNNNNNNGAUUGAUCGGCAUGUAUCCUGCUUUGCUGCUGUGUCUGUCCCCUCGGGGAAAUGUCACGCGGUGUAAUGGAGUCCUUGUAACUUGCUACGACUCGUCUACACACGCUGAUGACCGACACCUGCUUUGCUGGGUUAUGUAUGCAUGUCCCUGUACGGUUGUACCGCUGGGGUUUAUAACUAGUCAUGUCGACCCGGGUUCUUUAUCCUUUGAACGCUAGCAACAUAUUCAUAUACGUGAGCCAAAAGACGCAAACGGUCCCGACCAAGGUAAGGUGGCAGCCGUGGAGUUUAUCGUGCGUGAAGCCGCAAAGUGAUGUGAUGUGUUACAGGCUAGGUUCUUAUGACUCAGGAUCGGGGUCCCGACAUGAACAUGGUGNNNNNNNNNNNNNNNNNNNNNNNNNNNNNNNUUCUUAUGACUCAGGAUCGGGGUCCCGACAGCUUUGGUACCAGAGCUUGACUGCCUGUAGGAUAACCAAGCCAAACUGGUCGAUGUUGAGUCUAGCAACUCUUUAGUUAUAUAAGGGAAUUGUUUGUGGAAGGGAACGUAAGGCUCUUUUUACUCCUUUCCUUGUGUCAUUCUUAUUCUGAGUCACCCUCUUCUUUAUUCUACGGGGUUUAAGAAUUAGGCUUUCUCAUCUAUUCAUUAGGAUGACGAGUUACUAUGUUGGAGACUUAUAGAGAAGUUGUUGUCUUCCUAGAUCAGUGUCUCCAUAAGAAUUCAAUUGUUAUGUUGUUAGUUUUCUUGCAGGUUGCCUNNNNNNNNNNNNNNNNNNNNNNNNNNNNNNNNNNNNNNNNNNNNNNNNNNNNNNNNNNNNNNNNNNNNNNNNNNNNNNNNNNNNNNNNNNNNNNNNNNNNUUUCUUCGGAAAGUGCACUGUAUGCUCAUUACCGUUGACAUGGACAGUGACAUUGCCUUUGUUGCAAUCUAUAACAGUCCCUGCAGUGUUUAAAAAGGGUCUUCCAAGGAUGACCGCCAUGGCAUCAUCCUCGGGAAUAUCCAGGAUAUAAAAAGUCUGUUAAGAUAGNNNNNNNNNNNNNNNNNNNNNNNNNNNNNNNNNNNNNNNNNNNNNNNNNNNNNNNNNNNNNNNNNNNNNNNUUUCAGGCACAUCCUCGCAAAUGCCGAUAGGGAAAGCAGUUGAUUUGUCGGCCAUUUGUAGAGAGAUUUCAGUGGGUGUCAACUUAUCCAGUUCAAGUAUACGAUAAAGAGAGAUACAGGAAUAACACUAACACCGGCUCCAAGGUCGCAUAAAGCAGUUCUAACGUAGUUGCCUUUAAUGGAGCAAGGUAUAGUGGGCACUCCGGGAUCACCGAGUUUCUUAGGAGUUCCACCCUUGAAGGUAUAAUUAGCAAGCAUGGUGGAAAUCUCAACCUCAAGUGUCCUCCUCUUAUUAGUCAGAAUAUCUUUCAUGUACUUAGCAUACGGAGACAUUUUGAGCAUAUCUGUCAAACGCAUUUGCAGAAAGACAUGUCUAAUCAUUUCAACAAAUCGCUCAAAAUCCUCAUCAUCCUUUUUCUUGGAAGGUUUGGGAGGAAAGGGCAUGGGUUUCUGAACCCAUGGUUCCCUUUCUUUACCUUGCUUCCUAGCAGCAAAGUCAUUCUUAUCGUAUCUCCUAUUCUUAGGCUGUGGGUUAUCAAGAUCAACAGGUUCAAUCUCCACAUCCUUAUCAUUGAUAGGUUGAGCAUCGUCAUGAACAUCACUAUCGAUAUUAUCAUCAGGCUCAUGUUCAUCACCAGAUUGUGUUUCGGCAUGAGAGGCAGAGACAUCGUUUGAAUUCUGAGCUGUAACAGCAUCAGGGUUGCUAGCGUGCAAGUUCCUAUCAACAUCAUAGCUAGCCUUAAAAGCAAGAAAGUCCUAAGCUAUCUCUCCCUCCAUAACAUAACCCUUAGGCNNNNNNNNNNNNNNNNNNNNNNNNNNNNNNNNNNNNNNNNNNNNNNNNNNNNNNNNNNNNNNNNNNNNNNNNNNNNNNNNNNNNNNNNNNNNNNNNNNNNAAGGAAAAGACACUUGACAUUAGAAAAGCUUUAGCAUACGAACAAUAUAAUCUAGUGUUAUGCUUAGGAUUGGGUCUUGUCCAUCACAUCAUUCUCCCAAUGAUGUGAUCCCGUUAUCAAUGACAUCCAAUGCCCAUGAUCAGGAAACCAUGAUAAUCAAUUGACUAACGAGCUAGCCAACUAGAGGCUUGCUAGGGACAUAUUGUGAUCUAUUUAUUCGCACAUGUAUUACUGUUUCCUGUUAAUACAAUUAUAGCAUGAACAAUAGACGAUUAUCAUGAACAAGGAAAUAUGAUAAUUCUAGGGCAUAUUUCCAACACUUUAUUCAUAAUUUGGACACUUUAAUUCCCCUUCAUUGUUUAAUUCCCAGCAAUCAACUAAUAUUUUGAGUGAACUGUUUAUUUUAGACCUUUGACGAUCAUAUCCAUGGUCAUAUCAUAUUCUAUAUAUAUUACACCGUUAAAUGUAUUACUUUUAUCUAUAUUAUGACUUGUUAUCCACAUAUAUGUGAUAGACAUGGGACCCGGGUCAUUUUUGUCCUGGGUCCGCCCCUGAGUACUACUCCCUCCGUCCUAAAAUAAAUGUCUUAACCUUAUUAUAACUUUGUACUAGCUCUAGUAUAAAGUUUUGAGACAGUUAUUUUAGGACGGAGGGAGUACUUGUUUGUCAAUGUAUGCAUGUGUUGGAGUGCCUGCUUUAGUAACAUAUAGAUAAAACGUAUCUAGAGCACCAGAGAUAUUAUACGUACAAUAUGAUGGGUUUGGUCUGAGCCCGCUAGCCAAGCUUAUGCCACUAAACAUAUGGCAGCUCAAGAAUGUCUGAUGGUCACGCCUAGAUAGGUGCAGUACAUGCAUGCAAAAAAUCCAGUGUCCCGUUUUAUUUUACUAGCAAAAGGGCCCGUGCGUUGCAACGGAAGAAAAAAUACCACACGCUUUUAAUUUUUUUAUAAUCAUUUUGAUUUAUUAAAAUAAUAAGCUAACUAACUAAUGUACUCAGUCCUAUCCUAUUAUGUUGAGAAAUCAACCCGUCCAUUGUUAAUUCCACCACGAUGAGAAAUUGAGCGGGACAAGCAAAGCAAAACAAACAGGCUACGUGAAUUGAUCGAUGGACUGUUAUCUUAUUUCACUCAUGGGGUAGAGAAUGUGGGAUCAGAUGACAAACUAAAGGUGGUGUUCCAUUCUCUCUCUACAACAAUGCAAUCUUACAUUCAAUACAUUCGUUCAUCAGCAAACAAAUUUCCACAAAACAAAAUUUCUUGCCGGUGCUUGGCACACGGUUGUAGGCAUGGGGAGGGGAUCUCACUAGAUGAUGAGUUCCUGCCGGAGGAGGGGAUACGAUGAGGGUUAGGCGCCUCUAUCUGGCCAUAAGGAGUCGUAGUUGCCGCGCCAUAACCUCAGAGUUCUCCGUGUGAGGCAUCGAGGCCUGCCUCCAACUGCAAGUACUUCGCUCCGCCGUGCCUUAUCCGCGCGCCGCCGCCGUUCUGCAUCGAGCAGACGCAUCAUCCCAAGUCGUUGUAGCUGUCGCGUUGAUUUGAUCCAGAAGCUGUGCUCGAGCGCCGAAACGGGGGCAGCAAGCGGGCAGAGAUACGACCGCGGAGGCAGGUGGGUUGAGAUCAACAACAGUGGUGGUUGAGGUCGGCCGCGGCGGGCGAGUGGUGUGGUAGCGGCCUGGGCACAGGCCAGGGUGGACCAGGGUCGACGCGAUGCGCUCGAGCGCCGCAACAGGGGCAGUGAGAGGGGAGAGGUACAUCCGCGGAGGCGGGUGGGUUGAGAUCGGCAGCGAUGGCGGUUGAGGUCGGACGCUAUGGCGAGUGGUGUGGCGGCGGCCUGGGCACAGGCCAGGGUGGCCCAGGGUCGACGGGAGGAGGCGAUGCGUACGGGUAUAAUUUUUGCAGCGAAUCGUUUUUUCUUUUUGCGUUGCAGAUAAAUGAUGGAGCGCGGGUUGAAUAACAAAAAUUACAGGGGCUUUUUUAUAAAAAUACCGUGGUGGGUUUUCCGACGGAAGCAAUAACCGCUUUAUUAUUAGGUAUAGAUUUGCCUUGAUAUGGAUGUGUGGCCAUACUAGAAAGGACCGAGUUUGCGUUGAUGAUAUACGAGGUAGAGUUGGGAUAACAACAAUUGGAAAAAGCUUGUUCAACAUCGUCUAAGAUGGUUUGGACAUAUUCAACGCAGGACUCUAGAAACUUUAGUGGAUAACGGAUGGCUAAAGCAGGUUGAUAAUAUCAAAAGAGACAGGAAUAGACUGAACUUGACAUGGAAGGAGUCUGUAAAGAAAGAUCUGAAAGGCUGAAGUAUCAUCGAAAAACUAGCCAUGGACAAGAAUGCGUAGAAGUUUGCAAGCCAUGGCCAAGGUGAGGUGGGCACCAUCCGGUUUAAAUAAACAACCUUCUAUUUUUCUAGAACACUAAUCAAUGCAAGCAAUGAUGUUAUGGCCGAUGGGCCAAGCACACACUCGUGAGGCUUAAAAUUUUUGUUUCUGAAUUUUAUAUAUUCAAACUCCUCGCGCCCAAACCUUGAAAAUUACAUCAAUCUUGGAUACAUUUCAAACACAUUACAAUUUCAAUGAUUCAACCCACUUUUCACUUAAUCAAUUUCAGUGUGUAAAAUUAUAUUUUUAUCUGACUGAAAUAAGUUUAUUGAACUAAGUGAAAUUAUAUUGAUCAAAAUUAGUGAAAUUUAUUUUUGGAAAAUAGUCCAAACAACUUUCAAAUUGAGUGGAAUCUAUUUUUCAAGAUAGCCGAAAUCUAAUUUAUUUCUGAUGAGUUAAAUUAGUUUUCUGAAAUGAAUGAAAUAAUAAUAUAGUCAAAAAACGACUUAUAUUAAGUUAUAGAGGAGUAUGCUUUUGAAAUAAGUGAAAUUACUAACUUUGAAUUUAUUUAAAAAAAUGAAAAUUAGAGAAAUUUGUUUUCUAUCCAAGUACAAUUACUAUUUUUUAUAUGAGUGAAAUUAUUUUCUUGAAUUGAGUGAAAUCAUUUUCUGAAAUAUGUGAAAUGUUAUGUUUGAAUUGAGUGAAAUCACUGUUCGAAAGGACUGAAGUUAGUUUUUUGAAUUAGAGAACAUUUUUCUGUAAAUGAGUGAUUUUUUUCUUUUAUUGUGUGAAAUAUGUAUUUAUUUGAAAUAAGUGGAAUCAACUUUUUAAAAUGAGUGAAAUCCUCAUUCGGUAUUAGUGAAAUAUGUUUUUGUCAAUUAGAAAUAUCAUUUCUUAAAGUGAGUGAACUUAUAUUGAAUUAACUGAAAUCAGUCUUUUGAAAUGAGUUAUAUUAUUAUUUUUGGAACUAAGUGAAGUAUGAGUUUUGAAUUCUGUGAAAUAUGUCAUUUGAAAUGAAUGAUAUUAACUUUUUGAAAUGAAAUUGAUGUUUUGAAAAAAGAGAAAUCAGUCUUAUGAAAUUUUAAAUGGAAUAAAAUCUACUCAACACUUAUAUUGUUUGAAAGAUCUUGUCAUCAAUAGUUCAAAUGUAUAAAAAGGUUCAAAGUUGGAAGAAUUGAUCUCUCACAAGUAAAUAAAAUACUAGCAUUUCUUAGUGGGGUGAGGGGCCGGGGUGGGGGAAGCUAUGAUGGGUGUGGGGAGGGGGGAAGCUAUGAGUAUGCAUGCGUAUAUUUCCGUGAGUGGAUCUAAGUUGGUGGAAAUAUGUUCAUGUAUCAUAAGACAGUGUUGGUCUUGUAGAGCGAUGUAUUGCACAUGAAAAUGUUUCAUUACUUUAUACACAGAAGGGAAACAUGCAUUUGAACACAACAAUCAGCGCUAGAUUCUUCAUGGGCACCUACCGGAACUGUUAGAAUUUUUUUUAGCAAUAUAUAAGUGGCCUAAAAAUCUGCUUUGUAUUACCCGAUUUUUCUGACCAUUUCUGCUUUAAGAUACGUACACCUUUUAUUUCUUGUACUUUCUAUGAGUUGUUUUGGGCUGAUUGUUUUUUACUAGCCACAUAUUCGCGCUAGUCAACUUAUUAACGGGCUGAAGCCCAUUACCUGUGUGAUCUUUGGUCCCACCUCCCCUUUAUUUAUUUUUGUUCUGUUUUUUGCCUUUAUAUGCUUUUCCAUGUACGUAUUAUUUUUUCUUUAUCAGACAGGUUUGUAAUUUUCUCUAUUUUGAGUGCAUUUUCGGUAUGUUUUGUGAGUGUAAAUGUAGACUAAAAAAUAAUAUAAAAUGUACGGGGAAUGCAUUAUUAUAUGAUUAUUCGUUGCAUGCCACAAAAAAGCGUUGUUCCAUUACAAAGAUGUGUGCAAGGUUUUUUCAUAUACUUUGUUCUUAAAGGGUAACACUAAUACCACUAAUUCAUUGGUCCUUAUAAAAAAUCCUUAUUUUGAUCUAUUUUGGUUAGUAUUAUUUUUUCUAUCUUUUUAUGGGUGAUACCAUAUGGCUGUAGUUCAUUCCUUCUUAGUAUUAUCUGCUUAUUAUGGCAAAUUAUAAAAAGAAAUUUUGUGUGGAUUUUUCUACUAUUUUUAAUGUUUUUAUUUUACUUAUUCUUAAAUAUUCUUCCUAAAUGGCAAUACCAAUACCACUAAAUAAUUUCUUCUUUGAUUGUUUUUCAAAAAUUACAUUAUUAUAUGCUUAUGCUUGCAUAUUAUGAAAUUAGCUAUUUGUGUAUUCUAGUGGUUCAACAUCAAACAUGUCCGACGUAUACGUCACACUCAAUAUAUUCUAGAUUUUCAUAAGAUUUAAUAUGAUUUGAAUACGGGUAUGGCAAGGCAAAGAAAGUUUGUAUUUUGGCAACAAUCAUGUCCCUCAAUCAUGUCGGACUUAAUGUGUUGUCGUGGAAAGUACCAAUUUCGUUUUGACUAUUCAAAGUUACUCAUUUAUGGUUGUUUUUUUAUUUUUACGAAAUUUGUUAAGAUUACCACAAAAAAAAGUAACCAAAGUGGAAGGUGAGGUGUGUGUUGAAAAUACGUCCGUUGGAUCCAUCGCAAAAAAAAAAACACGUUCGUUGGAUGUUAAUGGUGUAGGAAAAUGUGUCUGGAAUUGAAAUAAAUUUCAGGCACCUGGACACCUGGUGCAUAGGCGCUCUCUUACUUUAUAUUUGUCUACCCGCAAAGAAAAAAACUUAUGGAGUAUAUAUCCACAUAUCUGCAGUCGUGCUGUGAUGUGUUUGCUCGGUUUGUCCUGUGUGAAGAAAAAAAAAACGUCCCUCCUGGUAGCUUGUCGAUCGUGAGGAGCUGGCUUGAGAAUGGAAUGCUAUUUUGUCCGCUAUACAAAAUAAUUCGAUCGAUCCGUGCAAGUCCCUCUCAAGUGCCCCGAAUUUUCCAGCACAAGACGAAUAUCCAUGAAGCGUUGCAGUUUUUUCCAACCUACUUCCUCCGUUCCUAAAUAUAAGUCUUUUAAAAAAUUUCACUAGAAGUCUACAUACAAAGCAAAAUGAAUGAAUCUACACUCUAAAAUAUGUCUAAAUACAUCUGUAUGUAGUUUACUAAUGAAAUCUCUAAAAGAACUUAUAUUUAGGAACGGAGGGAGUAUAUGACACGGCGAGAACGUUCAACAGAUACCAGCUACCUAAGCCACGCCUGGCGUCACUCUCAGUGGAGAAGUUGCAAAGACCAAUAUUGGCUAGCAUGCGAUGUGGCAGAUUUUUCCCAGCCAGCAUUGGCCGGCUUGUAAAUUGUCGUCCCUACCAAUCUUGAAAUAUAUUCCUUCUAGCGAUCCUUCACCCAAGCUACAAAGUACUAUAAAUGAGCACGUCCUAGCCAAUCCCUUGAACCAACAAUACCACAGCAAUCAAGCAAGCCAAGAAACAACAAUGGCCGCCUCCUCGUCGGCGCUCAUCAUUCUCCUUGCCGCAGCCCUGACCGCGGGGGCUAGCGCCAGGAGCUUCUCCAUCACGAACCGCUGCAGCUUCACUGUGUGGCCGGCGGCCACCCCGGUGGGCGGCGGGCGGCAGCUCAACGGCGGCGAGACAUGGAACCUCGACAUCCCCGACGGCACCAGCUCCGCCAGGAUCUGGGGCCGCACGGACUGCAGCUUCAACGGAAACAGCGGGAGAUGCGGCACCGGCGACUGCGGUGGCGCUCUGUCCUGCACGCUGUCCGGCCAGCCCCCGCUGACGCUGGCGGAGUUCACCCUCGGUGGCGGCACAGACUUCUACGACAUCUCCGUCAUCGACGGGUACAACCUCCCCAUGGACUUCUCCUGCAGCACCGGCGUCAACAUUCAGUGCCGCGACCGUAACUGCCCCGACGCGUAUCACACGCCACCGGAGCCCAAGACCAAAGCUUGCAGCGGCAACAGGAGGUUCAAUAUCGUCUUCUGCCCAUGAUGGCCUAGCUCUACCAUACGCAUGCAUGCUUGUCAUGCGCCAUGGCAUGCCACAAUGAUAUUUGUUGUACCGCUUCCAUUUUCCAUGUAAUAAUGGCCGUGCGAAUGUGUACGAGUGUCCAAUAAAGUCGAUACAUAAUAAAGGUAAAUAAUAUUAUCAUUUCCAGUUUAGAAUAUUUAAGUUGCCUUAUAAUAUGCGGUGUCAAGAACGAACCUAGAAAUUGAAAUUUCUAAUAUUGUUCAGUUCUCCCCGUUUUGCUCAAAAACACCCCUCCCCGGCCAUGUUUUCCAGACCUUUCAAUGAUGGUUUGUUCAGGUUUUCAUGUAUUUUGAAAUGGUUCAAGUGGAGGCUUGACAUGCAUACACCCAAGUAGAACUGAAACUAGUGUGAAAAUACAAACAAAAUUCACUGAAAUUUGUACCAAACAUUAUGAACCCAUGGAACCACAUCGAAACUCCUGUACUACAUGCAUAUCGCCACGGUCGCACCCGACUCGCCCUGGCGCGCGCACGCACACGCACCUGAUCCGGUCUUGCUGUGGCUUACAGAAUUAUUCCAACGGGAAAAAGUGGCUGAAAUUAAAAUAAAUUUUGGGUAUCCGAUGCAUAGGCGCUAGCAUGAGAAGGGAAUGCUAAUUUGUCCACUAUACAAGAUAAUUCGAUCGAUACGUGCAAGUCCCUCUCAAGUGCCCCGAAUUUUCCAGCACAAGACGAAUAUCCAUGAAGCGUUGCAAUCUUUUUCCAACGGCGAAAACGUUCAACAGAUACUCCUACGCCGGUUAUCCUAGGCUCGUCGACCGGGUGAGGCUCGCAGAUUUUUCUCGGCCAGCGUUGGCCGGUGCAUACGCAUCGAUGUAAAUUGUCGUCCCUACCAAUCUUGAAUUUUCCUUCUAUCUAUCCUUCACCCCAGCCUUCUACUACUAUAAAUAAGGACGUGCCUUACACCAGCCAACAGCACCACAGCAAGCAAGAAACAAUAAUGGCCGCCUCGUCGUCGAUGCUCAUCCUCCUCCUGGCCGCGGCGCUCGACGCCGAUGCCAGGGCCACCAGCUUCUCCAUCACCAACCGCUGCUCCUUCAUGGUGUGGCCCGCGGCCACCCCGGUGGGCGGCGGCCGGGAGCUCAACAGCGGCGAGACGUGGAACCUCGACAUCCCCGGCGGCACAGAAUCUGCCAGGAUCUGGGGCCGCACGGGCCGCAGCUUCAACGGCAACAGCGGCAGAUGCAGCACCGGCGACUGUGGCGGCGCGCUGUCCUGCACACUGUCCGGCCAACGCCCCAUGACGCUGGCAGAGUUCACCCUCGGCGGCGCUAUGGAUUCCUACGAUAUCUCGGUGAUCGACGGGUACAACCUCCCCAUGGACUUCUCCUGCAGCACCGGCGUUGCGCUACGGUGCCGCGACCCCAGCUGCCCGGACGCAUACCACCAGCCCAACGACGUCAGGACCAAACCUUGCAGCGGCAACAGAAGCUUUCAAGUCGUCUUCUGCCCAU